AAGCUUUAAGACCAUGUGAGAGUGUUAGUGUUGCUCUGCUAUGGAAGAUAAAGGAGGAUGAAUCUAUGGCUACUUCUCUGUAGUCCCCUCAGAUUCCUUGUGAUAUAAAACUUUUUACAAGGAACCAUGGAUUUUAGCUCCGUAAAGUUUUUAGAGUUGUUGUUGAUUAGAGAUGUAUGGUGUUUAAAAUAAUAAAAGUAGUUGAUGAUAUGCAAUGAUUGAACCCAUUUAUGAAUCAAAAGGUUAAAAAAAGAGUAAUCGUUGUUGAAAUAUAUCCAAGGUGGAUCUAAAUAAGUGAAUGAGAUAGUUGCAGAAGAGAUAGGAAAAAGGAAAAGAAAAGAAGUGUAUGAGAUAUUUGACCUGAGUGAUUCACUGCUGCACGUGGUUUGUAGUUGACUAGGGUGAGUGCAGUUGGUUCAUUCAAGCACUGGAGCUCAUAGAAUCUUCAGGUGUCAUGUCAGCUACACCAUUAACAAAACUCAUUAGCAGAACCGUGCAACUUCGAAGGGAGAGUUCUUUUUUUUUUCUUUUUCUAAUCAGCAAACUAAACUGAAGAAGAAAGAGAAGGUAGAAUAGAAGGGGUUGGUUAUGAAGUUGGGUGUUUGAAGCAUAAGAAGAGGCAAAAAGUUGAGUGAGUGUAUGAUGAGAGUGGUGAUAGAGUUUGAGGUGUUAAAUGAAUCCGAAGAUUAGUGAGGAUAAGGAGAAUGGAUGUAGGGGCUAGCUGUCUGUGGAUCUCAUCUAGAAUAUCGUUCAGUUUAAACUUAUAAAACUUGACUUGUAAAAUCUAAAAAAAAAUUAAAAUAAAGUUGACCAAGAGGGUGGAAGUUAUUAUUUGGAAUUUGGAAAAGAUAUAUGAAACCCGAUUUGGUGACCAAUAAAACUUUAGCCAUGAGAUAAGUUUUGUUUUCAUAUUAUAUUAUAGUUAUUAUUAUAUUUAUUAAUAUAAUUAUUAAUAUAAACAUUUAUUAAUAUUAUUGAUAUAUUUAAUAUUAUUCAUAUUAUUAUUAAAAUUAAUAACAUUAUUAAUUAUUAUAAUAUUAUUAUUAUUAAAUAUUAUAAAUUUUAAUAUUAAUAUUAUUAAUAUUAUAAAUAGUAUUAAUAUUUUUAAUAUUAUAAAUACUAUUAAUAUUAUUACUUAUAUUAUUAUUAAUAUUAUAUUCAUAUUAUUAAUAUUAUUAUUAAUAGUAUUAAUAUUAUUAAUAUUAUUAUUAAUAGUAUUAAUAUUAUAAAUAAUAUUAUUAAUAUUAUUUAUAUUAUUAUUAAUAAUAUUAUUUAUAUUAUUAAUAUUAUUAAUAUCAUUAAUACUAUUAAUAUUAUUAAUAUCACUAAUAUUAUUAAUAUCACUAAUAUUAUUAAUAUCAUUAAUAUUAUCAAUACCAUUAAAAUUAUUAAUAAUAAUAUUAUUUAUAUUAUUUAUAAUAUUAUAUUAAUAUUAUUGGUUUUGUAAUGUUAAUAGUAUGCAUAUCUAUUAGUUAUAAUUAUUAUUAUUUAUUAUUAAUAUUUAUGAAUAUUAGUUAUGUUGAAUUUACAUACACAAAUUUAAAUCCGUAGAUAAUAAUUUGUAGGUAAUAUUGAUUUUUCUUUUGUAGUAUAAUAUCCUCUAAGUUGAUCAUUAUGAGUCAUUUGGAUUAGUCAUAGUCAUAUAACUAUAUUCAUUGUUCCAUAAAUAACCACUCAUUAUUUAAGACUCAUUGAUUAGGCCGUUUUACUCAUGAUGAUCAUUGAUAGCAAUGAAGGCUCGGUUAUGGUUAAUGGUAGCCCGACUACAUAAUUUACCAACUAGGAGUUUGAGGUAGGGGGACCCCUUAGCUCCUUUUUUGUUCCUAACUGUGGAUGGGAAGUUGGCUGGAUUGGUAAGACAAACUAUUAAGGCUAAUCUACUUAAAGGGAUGGAAUUAGACAAUACUGAAUUUGAGGUUUAUAUGCUACAAGUUGAUGAUACAUUUUUUUAUAUGUCAAACUAACUAUCAAAGUGUUUUUACAAUAAAAUGUAUUUUAAGGUGCUAUGAGCUAGCUUUGGGAUUGAAAAUUAACUUUCAUAAAUCUAAAUCUAAGAUUGUGACUUUAAAUGUAGGGAGAAGUAGGUUUAGGACCUACGCAUAAAUGCAAAUUGUGCAAAAAUGGCUAAUACCAUUCAAAUGCUUAGGCCUUAUUGUUGGAGGCAAUACAAGGAGAAAGUUGUUUUGGGAACCCAUUCUUGACAAAGUAAGGGCCAGAUUAAAUGUGUGGAAAGGAAGACAAUUGUCUUUUGGCUGGUAGAAUAUGCUUGAUUAAAUUUGUUUUCACUGCUCUACCUAUUUUCUACCUCUCUUAUAACAAAGCUCUAUCAGAAGUGUGUAAAAUGAUUACCCGUAUCCAAAGGAGAUUUCUCUAUGGGUGGGGGAAACAUAAUAGAACAAUUGCUUGGAUAAAUUGUGCUGGAGUGCUUAGGCAUCAAGGAUACACAUUAUUUCAAUUAUGUCCUAUUGGCUAAGUGGAAGUGGAGGCUACUCAUUGAAAAAAAAUGAAGAUGGAAAGAAGUACUUCAAGCAAAAUAUGGUUUGGUCUCGGGACAAAUAGGUGUUCAAGCUAAAUAUUAGUCUUGAUGGUGGAAAGAUCUGGUCAAAUUAUGAGGAGAGGGAGAAGGUGUUGGAUGGUUCGAAAAAGGUGUAAGGUGGAAAGCCGGAGCAGGUGACAUAAUCAGAGAUUUUGGGAGGAUCACUGGGUCUAACAAUGCAACCUUAAGGAGAUGUAACUAACUAGGCUAUACACCAUAUUAGUUAAGAAAAGCAGUUUGGCUGGCAUUAAGUGUUAAAUGAUGAGUAUAAAUCCCUUCUAUGGUUGCUAUUCAAAUUUCUUAAUGGAGUUUGGUUUCACUAGGGUAUUCCUUUAUGACGAAAUCCAAAGGCUUUUCCUUUUUGGAUCCGUUUAUUCAUUAGAUUUCUAAAUAUCUGCGUAAUUUGAAAGGAGCUUAUAAUCUUUAGGUGGUUGAAUUUCAUUUUUCAGUUUAAAUUGUUGAGCAUUCCCCUCUAACAUCUUUCCUGCUGGUUUGACUUUAGAAUAAAUUAUACCAGACUUACUCUGGUCUGCUAUGGGUGAAUUGAGGACUGUUUGUUAAGUUGGGAACUGUUAGAUAUGAGAUUGUUCAGUAGCCUUUACCUAAUAGAACAGCCUUGAGAUGAUUUGUCAUUGACGUGCUAUCAUAUUGAUUAUGACGAAGUGAAAAGUUGAAUCCUGUCUGGCAGUUCACUUGGCUUAAGUUCAAUUAAGCACAAGGUUGGAGGGGCAUUUGUCCAUUAUCAACACUUCAAACUCCCAAAGGGCUUGCAUAAGGAGGUGUUACUUAUAAACCAUUUUUGAGUUUUCACAUAAUAGCUUCAAUUUUUUGGAUUAGUUGGUCUCAAGUCAUCAACAAAAAAAUAUAAGAUGGAAAGCAAACAGAGAUUUGGAAAAGAAUAAUGUUUUUAGGUUGGCCACCCAAAUGUUUUGCAAAAGAAUAAGGUUUUUGGCUUCUCUUUUGUACUAGAUACAUGGUCUUUUAAGUGGGUUGUAUGCUGUUACUCUUGAGUUCUGUUUUGUUUCUCUUUGUAAUUUUUUCUUUAAUUAGUUGUCUUGUCAGGGAUAUCUUAUCCUCCUAUAUUUCUAUAUCACUUUUUUCUUUAUGAAUUUCUUUUUUACGUCAAAACAAAAUUACCUUCACAACAAUUCUUGUUGCUGCUUGCUAAAUUGUGCAAACACUUUCUUAGACUUUGUGAUGAUAAUUAUGUUUGGAGAUUUUAAUAAACAGAUUUGUUCAUAAUAUUUUCCAAUUCAUCAAACUAAAACGUCGGGGGUUACUGAGUUAGUGUUAUAAAUUUCAUAGUUUUAUGUCUCUCUAUGGAUUGUUGUUGCUUUGCUACCUUGAUCAUACCCUCUUCUUAACUUCAUCUUUUUUAUUUUAUUACUUGAUUAUUUCCGUUUCAGGGAAUUUCAAGCACUACAUUUCUGGCAAAUUCACCUGAGGAAACACCUGUUUUGUCACCUUUAGUCCCAGUUUCAUCUUUGGGUAGUUCAAAAGGUGAAUACCAGAAGCAGAAAGCUGUGACUAAGCCAGAAAAAGUUCAAGCAAUAUUAAAGAGAAUAAAGCAGGUUUGAGAUGCAUAUCACUGUUCAUGAUUGUUUGCUUUUGGUUUUCUUAUAUGCAGCAGUUGGUUUUCCUUCAUUAAGAACAUGUUAGGUAGACCUGAUCAAGUAUAUGUUGAAUGAAUUUUGAAUGAAAUGAUUCCAAUUUUAAGUGCUGAAAAGUACAAUAUGAAAACUUAUAAUAUACCAGACAUGGCAACAUCGAAGGAAAAGUCUUUUAAUUACUUAAAUAGUGAAACAGUACUUUAUUCAUUCAGUAUAAUGCAUGUGAUGAAUGUAUUUAGAAAUUGCACUAUUAAAUUUGUAGCAUUCUCUAGCCAAAAAAUAUUUUAAAAGAAGAAACAAAUUUUAUUUUAUAAAUUAAACUAAUUCAACUGCAUGCUAUUAUGGCAACUGUUUUUCUCCUUUAAAACAAUUUUGAGAGUGGAGACAGUAAAAGAAUUUGCUGUACUCUGUUGGACUGGACAAGUUUCAUCUUUCCAAGUGCAACUGCCACUGCCAAACGCAAGAAUUGCACCUUCUUAUGUGACAAAAUACUAGUGGCACAUCUUUGCUUUCAUUUCUUAACUGCUAUAUAUAUGGCAUAAUAAUAAUGAUGAAGAGGUGAAUACUUUUAAACAAUGCUUGUACUUCUACAACCAAGCUAAUAAAGUACACUUAUAACUGUUGAUUGAACAAUCAACAGUUGAUUGUCUAACUCCUAAACUUUGGGUAUAAGUCUAACCUAAUCUUGUAAAAAUGGUUUGUAAAUCAAGGUUUGGAUUCACCCCACUUGUGUACUCUACUUUAGUCAUAUCACUAAACAAUUUGAGACUAAGCCAUCAUCAUUUAGGUAGCAAAACCAAUCUAAUAAAGUGUAGUUUAACUGUUACAGUUGAGUGUUGUGACAAAAUCAAUUACAUGUCUAAUUUUUAAUCUUUGAGUAUUUCAGCCUCAUAAAUAAAGACUUAUAAUUUAUAAAUCAAGGUUUGCACCUCAGUGUAUACUCUACUUUAGUCAUAUCUCCUUUGAGGUUACAAUUUAGGCAAUCCCCAAUGAGCUUGUAACUUAGGCAAGGUAGGGGUGAUUCCAACAGUAACAAAUUCUGAAGUUAAUUACAAUCUUAACUUUCAAUAUUUUAAUCAGCAAUUGUUAUUGCUGAAUUGCAUUCCUCUCACUUUAGAGCUGCUAAAUCUGUCGACAUUUGCCCCCAUGGGUGUCUAAAUGAUCCUAAUCUGUUAGAUAAAUAAAAAUAAUAAGGUUCUCUAUAUAACAUUCAAAUAAUUAUAUUCUAUUUUCCCCCCAGUUUCAUAGUUCCCAUCCUAGUUCUACUUACCAAUCUUUCUUUAACUGUAUCUACUUAUUGGUUUAUCUCUCCAUUUCUAACCUUCAAUGUUCCCACACAUUUUUGCGUUUGGUUUUCUAGUAAGCACUAAUGCAGGCUAAAAGAAAACCAUUGAUUUGACAAUAUAAACAAGUAUCAGUGUAUCAUCACUGUUCCGUCCGGUUGACCGGGACGUCUUCAUGCGCGACCUCAACCGUCAGCUAGGGACUCCUUCCCACUGGUUGCCUGUGGAUUCCUGCAAAAAAGAGGACAAAGAGGCGCCCUAGCAGCCGUGUGCACUCCGACGCUCAAGUCAGCCAGCAAGAAACACCAAAAACUGUCCACCUGCGUGUCUGAGCACCGCGUAUGGCACUCUGAAGGUGGUAAAAGAACUGUGUAUAUGUGUGUGUUGUCUCUUUCAGGCAAAAAUAUUCCCCAGUCACUUGUACGUAACCUUGAAGCACGAGCAAGCAACUAGAGAGUUCUCUGAUAAAUUUGCCGAAAGUUCCAACCCUUUUUCCAACAUUCUCCGCGCUAUUUAAAAUACCCAAGCAUUUAAAGCGCCUUAAAGCGCUUUUAAUCACAAACAUAACGCACUCAUCAAAGCGCUUAAUUAGAAAACGUAGCGCAUUUAAGACGUUGAAACGCUCGGGAGCCAUUAUAGUACCUGAAUGCUCGAAAGGGAAACUGUAUUGAAUGACUUUUAAUUACCUGGCACCUGACUAAAGGGUGUUUCUAUUCUGGCAUGGCUGUCGUACACGUGGAGGGCCUCACGACGCCAUGACCCCAUCUGGGGGCGCUUCGGCCCACCUGGGGACGUUUCUACGUGUGAGUCCUCCUGCUGGGAGUGCUACUGCGCUAGGGGUGACUUUUUGGGUGCCAACUCAUGCCCCCAAGUAUCUAGUCACUUACUUUGAGAGCGUAUCUGCCUUCCUUUUGUACUCUGCACCCGGUUGCCCUGGGCGUGACUUUCCUCUUGAGUCGUAUCGGCCCCACGGGCGUCUCUGGGGCGGCAGGAGCACUUCACGAGUCAGGCUGCCCUUCACUGGUACUAUUACUAUGGCCUUGAAGCCACCUUUUCCUUCUCUUUAUCACUUUCCCGAGAUAUCGGGACCUGAGGCUUUCCCACGACGUCGCUCCGUCCAUGGUCUUUCCUACCCAUGGGUAUUGGGGAACCACACCGCGAUUGCCUUGUUUUUACACUGUUUGAUCUGGCGACGCCCUGGUUGGGCGACGCCUCCACCCAGGCGACGCCUUGCCUUGGUGACGCUUCCUCUUGGCGAUGCUGGCACUUGGCGUCUCUCCACAUAGGCGACGCCUUGCGUUGACUUUGACUCUCCAGCCGUUGACUUUGACUUUGACUUAGUCAACGCCCGGAUACGGGACGGUACAAUCACAAUUAUAUUCAGCAUAGCUAUAAUAGGAGUUUUAAAAAGUUGUAAUGCUUUAUUUCAUAAUGCUAUAUUCAGUAUCUGUUAUCAAUUUUUGCAGACAAGUUUGAACAUAUUUUUUAAGCUAUUGGAAUACCUUCCUUGGUUUGAUGUGUAAACUAAUUGAUUGUUUAAGGGUCUGGUUCAUAUCUGACUGAUUACACUUUUUACAUGCCCUGUCUUCUAUGGUAUUUUAGAGUCCAAAGAAGGUAAACUUAGUUGCUGCUCUGGUUCGUGGCAUGCUUGUUAAAGAUGCAUUGAUGCAGUUGGAAUUGACAAUAAAACGAGCAGCAAAAACUGUUUAUCAGGUAGUAACACUAGUUGUCUUUUACUGUCACCUCACUGACAAGAUUGCAAACACUAUAAUUUUAAUUGCUUUCAAAAAAGUUCCUCUUUGAACGCAUCAGAUUUUAAUAAUCUUUUUUCUCAAUAUCUUUGCCCCAUCCCCUGGCCAUUUUUAACUUUCCCAAUUAUAACACCAAUAUAAAAUUCUAAAGUAUCCCCGCUCUUACUUGCAUUUUGUCUGCAUUUAACACAACAAUUUAUGAUUAUUUAGAUUCGAGUUAUAUUCAUUUUCGGUGGAGAGAAAGGUUAUAUUCUAUUACCUUCUAUAUGGUAAAGCAAAAUUGGUAGCAUUUGUUUUAAAAUCCUACCCAUUGUAGGUCAUUCAUUCAGCCCGAGCAAAUGCCUCUCACAAUCACGGGUUAGAUCCAGAACGUCUCCUAGUAGGUAAUAUUUCGAAGUUCAUAAUUAUUUGAAGUGAAGUUUAGUUACAUGAAUUACAAUAGAACAUUGUUUAAUCUAUAUAGCUGACCUCAUCUAGUGUGAAAGGCUUAAUUGUUGUUCUAUCUGUGAUGAUCCUGGUUUGUUGUUUCUUACAGCGGAAGCAUUUGUAGGAAAGGGAUAUUUCAAAAAGAGACUUGCCUUCCAUGCCAAAGGAAGAUCAGGACUCAUAAUGAGACCAGAGUGCAGGCUAACAAUUGUAGUGAGAGAGAGAACUGCGGAAGAAGAGGAUGAUAUAGCUAGGCUGAGAGUUCACAACUUCAAGAAACUAAAGAAACUAACUAAGCGGGAGAGACGACUUGUGCCUCAUCAACUUAUUGAGACCACUCCUGUUUGGGGCCGCAAAAGCAAAUCUAGUGGUCAAAACUUGAGUGCUGCACCUGCAUGAGCCUCACUUUGUUUCCAAGUUUUCAUGCUUCAUGGCAUUUUGUGUAAUAGAUUAUUCUUCUUGGUCAUCACAUAAUAUGGAACAGUUGAAAAUUUUGUUUGCCCUUGUUGCAAAUGAUAGAAGUUUGUCUUGGAUGAUGUUCACUGUUAUUCUCACACUAGUGAAGAAAUGUAAAACAACGACCCUUUAUUUAGUGUGACUUUGCGCUUAAAUGCAUUUGUAAAAACGCGGUGGCAUUUUUGAAAUUAAAUUGUUUUACAAAUGCGGUUGUAGAGUAAGACCGCAUUUGUAAAUCAAUUCAAAUGAUUUACAAAUGCGGCCUUUACUAUGACCGCAUUUGUAAAUCAAUUUCCAUUCUCCGCUCUUCGUUUCAAUGUUUUGCGCUCAGUUCAGUUUCUUCUCUAUGCAUUUUGUAAGUUUCAGUUUCAGUUUCACUCAUUCGUUUUCGUUUUCGUUUUCGCAUCAUUCAUUAUUCACUUCGUUGGCAUUGUCAUUUUCGUUUCCUAACUUCGUUUGUGGCAUUUAGGUUACUGUUCCAUUGGUAUUCGCUGGUGUUUUCCUGCUCCGCCAUCGCCACAGCUUCCGCCGCCGCCUUCGCCUUUGUCUUCCACUCCGAUCACCAUCAAGCUUGUUCACGACGGAAAUGUUGGUUUUGUAUUUAAUAUUUAUUUAAUAUUUUGAAUUUAUAUUUAAUAUUUUGAAUUUUUAUUUAAUAUUUUGAAUUUUUAUUUUUCUGUAUUAUAAUAUAUAUUUAAUUAAUAACUAAUACAACUUGGAAUUUAUAACUAAUAACUAAUAAUUUAUAUAUUUCUGUGUAUUUUGAAUUUUUGUUUAUUAUAAUUUAUAUAUAAUUUAAUAAAUUAGUUACGGAAACAAUUAAUUUAUAUAUUAUUAUAUAUAAAUUUGUAUUAUAUAAUUUGUAUUUUCUUAAAUUUAUAUUAUAUAUAUAUAUUUAGUUAGUUGUUAAUUACAUUUUAAUAAAAGUUUUAUGUUAUGUUAGUUAUUGUUACUUUUAGAAUAGAAUUAUCGUGUUUGGAUUGAGUCCGGGGGUGUUCGACCCUCGGCAAAUGUGUGAGAUAGAAUAGAAUACUAAUUAUUAGAAAAUCCUAACUAUUCCAGAAUAUAUAAUGGAUCGAGGUUGGAUUAAUGUUGUUCGUAUAAGUGAUGAGUACGAAAGGGGAGUAGAGGAAUUUAUACAAUUUGCGCAGCGUAACGCGAUUAUUAGUGGUCAUGAUGGAGCAAAGAUCAGGUGUCCGUGCGUUAACUGUUUGAAUGGAAGGAUACUGGAUGUGAAUAUCAUGAGGGAACACCUGCUAUGUGAUGGGUUUCUUCGAUCUUAUACAACUUGGAUGGCAUGGUGAAUUAUUAAAUUUACCACGUGUUUCCGUAACUGAAGAAUAUGUGGGUUCUACCAUGGAUGAAGCAGUACACGAUGAUGGANNNNNNNNNNNNNNNNNNNNNNNNNNNNNNNNNNNNNNNNNNNNNNNNNNNNNNNNNNNNNNNNNNNNNNNNNNNNNNNNNNNNNNNNNNNNNNNNNNNNNNNNNNNNNNNNNNNNNNNNNNNNNNNNNNNNNNNNNNNNNNNNNNNNNNNNNAAUUUGAAGGCAAUAAACGGAUGGACUGAUAAAAGCUUCACGGAAUUGCUCCAGCUGUUGAAGGAUAUGCUUCCAGAGGGAAAUAGUCUACCUAAUCGUAAUUACGAGGCCAAAAAGAUUCUUUGUCCAAUGGGUAUGGAGUACAAAAAGAUACAUGCAUGUCCUAAUGAUUGUAUAUUAUACCGGAAAGAUUUUGAAUUGUUGAAAAGUUGUCCGAGGUGUGGGUUAUCACGUUAUAAGUUUAAACAAAAAGAUGAUGAUUCUAUUGAUGACAUGGAAAAGAAUGGACCCCCAAUGAAGGUUAUGUGGUAUCUUCCCAUCAUUCCAAGGAUGAAGCGUUUGUUUGCAAACCCAGACGAUGCUAAGAAUCUUAGAUGGCAUGCAGAUGAGAGGAAAUGCGAUGGCAUGUACCGACAUCCAGCUGAUUCUAUUCAAUGGAAGAAAUUUGAUGAUGACUUUCCAGAAUUUGGUAAAGAAUCAAGAAAUAUCUGACUUGGUUUAGCUACAGACGGAAUGAAUCCGUUUGGUAAUAUGAGUAAAAAUCACAGUUCAUGGCCUGUAUUACUAGUUAUUUACAACUUACCUCCUAGAUUGUGCAUGAAGCGAAAAUACAUGAUGUUGUCUAUGAUGAUAUCCGGUCCGAAACAACCAGGGAAUGAUAUUGAUGUUUAUCUAAGUCCCCUAAUUGAAGAUUUGAAGUUAAUGUGGGACCAGGGUUUUGAAGUAUUUGACGGAUUUGCUAAUGAAACUUUCAAGCUUCAUGCCAUGUUAUUUUGCACCAUCAAUGACUUUCCGGCAUAUGGUAACUUAUCAGGUUAUAGUGUUAAGGGUCACAAAGCGUGUCCAAUAUGCGAAGAAGACACUGCUUCUCAACAAUUGAAACAUGGAAGGAAANNNNNNNNNNNNNNNNNNNNNNNNNNNNNNNNNNNNNNNNNNNNNNNNNNNNNNNNNNNNNNNNNNNNNNNNNNNNNNNNNNNNNNNNNNNNNNNNNNNNNNNNNNNNNNNNNNNNNNNNNNNNNNNNNNNNNNNNNNNNNNNNNNNNNNNNNNNNNNNNNNNNNNNNNNNNNNNNNNNNNNNNNNNNNNNNNNNNNNNNNNNNNNNNNNNNNNNNNNNNNNNNNNNNNNNNNNNNNNNNNNNNNNNNNNNNNNNNNNNNNNNNUGCAUGUUGAGAAGAAUGUGUGUGAUAGCUUAAUUGGUACACUUCUUAACAUUAACGGGAAGACGAAGGAUGGUCUAAAUGCUCGUUUAGAUUUGAUUGAGAUGAACAUACGCGACGAGUUGGCACCCAUAGAAAUGGGUAAGCGUACAUAAUUCGCCCUCAGCCUGUUACACAAUGUCAAAAGAUGAAAAAAUUAGUUUUUGUCAAUGUCUAAAAGGUGUGAAAGUGUCACAAGGACAUUCCUUAAAUGUGAAGAGCCUAGUGUCAAUGCAAGAUUUGAAGUUAAUUGGGUUGAAGUAUCAUGAUUGUCACAUCUUGAUGCAACAAUUGNNNNNNNNNNNNNNNNNNNNNNNNNNNNNNNNNNNNNNNNNNNNNNNNNNNNNNNNNNNNNNNNNNNNNNNNNNNNNNNNNNNNNNNNNNNNNNNNNNNNNNNNNNNNNNNNNNNNNNNNNNNNNNNNNNNNNNNNNNNNNNNNNNNNNNNNNNNNNNNNNNNNNNNNNNNNNNNNNNNNNNNNNNNNNNNNNNNNNNNNNNNNNNNNNNNNNNNNNNNNNNNNNNNNNNNNNNNNNNNNNNNNNNNNNNNNNNNNNNNNNNNNNNNNNNNNNNNNNNNNNNNNNNNNNNNNNNNNNNNNNNNNNNNNNNNNNNNNNNNNNNNNNNNNNNNNNNNNNNNNNNNNNNNNNNNNNNNNNNNNNNNNNNNNNNNNNNNNNNNNNNNNNNNNNNNNNNNNNNNNNNNNNNNNNNNNNNNNNNNNNNNNNNNNNNNNNNNNNNNNNNNNNNNNNNNNNNNNNNNNNNNNNNNNNNNNNNNNNNNNNNNNNNNNNNNNNNNNNNNNNNNNNNNNNNNNNNNNNNNNNNNNNNNNNNNNNNNNNNNNNNNNNNNNNNNNNNNNNNNNNNNNNNNNNNNNNNNNNNNNNNNNNNNNNNNNNNNNNNNNNNNNNNNNNNNNNNNNNNNNNNNNNNNNNNNNNNNNNNNNNNNNNNNNNNNNNNNNNNNNNNNNNNNNNNNNNNNNNNNNNNNNNNNNNNNNNNNNNNNNNNNNNNNNNNNNNNNNNNNNNNNNNNNNNNNNNNNNNNNNNNNNNNUUGGUUUAAAGACGAGGUGUUCAAGGAUUCAACGGCAUCAGAGACCUUGACCUAGUUGGCUGCUGGAUUGAAGUUUGAUGUCAUCUCAUGUACAGCGUACGAAGUGAAUAAUUGUAUAUUUUACACGAAGUCCAUGGAUGAAAAGAGUACAAUUCAAAAUUCUGGUGUUACUCUUGAAGCCGAGUCAAUGCAGUUUUCGAAUUCGAAAGAUACAAAUCCAGUACUUGGAUCAAUGGCAUACUAUGGGUUUAUAGAAGAUAUAUGGGAGAUUGACUACACUAAGUUUUCCGUUCCAGUUUUCAAGUGUAAAUGGGUUGACAAUAAAAGUGGGGUUAAAAUUGAUGAUUCAGGAUUCACACUAGUGGACUUUCGAAAGAUAGGGUAUCGAGAUGAGCCAUUUAUAAUGGUUCAACAAGCAUCUCAAGUUUUCUACGUGAAAGAUCCUACGUCAAAACAUUGGUAUGUCGUUUUACACGGCAAAAAACAAGGGGAGACCAUAGAUGAUAUUGAAAAUGGUGACCCCUGUUCAUUCACACCAAAGAUAAUUAAUAAAGAUGACGAUGUAGUUGAUGAUGUACAUGCAACCCGUAAAGACCACAGUGAAGGAAUUUACAUAUGAACUUUCAACCUCCAUGCAACCUGUAAAUAAGCAUUUUUUAUUUACAUAUUUAUGUACUAUUUUUAUAAGAUUUUAAUCCGAUGCAGAUUAACUAAUGUUUGUUACCUAAUUUUUUUAACAGAGACAUGGAUGACGAUCAGACCCCAAUCAAACCUCGAUCCGGACGAGGCAGCAGAGGACCUACUAUAUUGAAGCGUCUCGCAUUGAGAUGUGCUGCUGGUGAGAAGACACGUGUUGACAUUGACGUCAACACUGGAGUGGCUUUUGGUCCUAAGGCAGAUGAGUUUAUGAGCUAUCUUGGAGUUGUUUCUCGUGAGAGGCUCUCCAUUCUGAUUAAUUCAUGGGAUAAGGUGUCAGAGGUCGACCGUAACAUGAUCUGGGAGGAUGUUCUGGUAAGCUUUACAUUUUGAUAUAAUGCUUUUUAAUAUUCAUUGAUUAAUUUUAAUUUGCUGAUGUUAUUUUGCAGGCAAACUUUGAAAUUCCUGAGGUGGAACCNNNNNNNNNNNNNNNNNNNNNNNNNNNNNNNNNNNNNNNNNNNNNNNNNNNNNNNNNNNNNNNNNNNNNNNNNNNNNNNNNNNNNNNNNNNNNNNNNNNNNNNNNNNNNNNNNNNNNNNNNNNNNNNNNNNNNNNNNNNNNNNNNNNNNNNNNNNNNNNNNNNNNNNNNNNNNNNNNNNNNNNNNNNNNNNNNNNNNNNNNNNNNNNNNNNNNNNNNNNNNNNNNAUUUACUUCAGUUUGUUUAUUUCAAUUAUGACAGGAUCGUCGGAAGAAAGCUCAAGAGAUAGCUUUGAAGAAUCUUACCCCGCACAUUAUGUCUCGUUCGGGGUAUCGAAAACUUGAGCAAACACUGAUGGUGGAAAAGGAGAAAUCUCAACAGGGGACGUUGUCUGAGAAUGUGGAAACAGGGGUCACUUCUCCUCCAUCACUACCUUUUCGCCAUGUAAAAUGGAAGAGGGCCCGAAUUAAAAAGUCGGGUGCACCAAGUUAUGAGCAAUCCAGGGUUAUCAUCGAAAAAAUUGUAAGUUAUUUUUGUUAUUUUCAUUUUUUUAAAGCAUUAAUUAUAUUAAUGAUUGAAAAUAUGAUUUUUGUGUACUCUUGCGGGAUUUCUUGGAAUCCGACGGUAAAUUUGUUGCUGAAGGUCGUCACGAUAUCCUGGUUGAAGCAAUUGGACGACCUGAGCACUCUGGUCGUGUUCGUGCAGCUGGACAAGUGGUCAGAAUUAAACUAUAUUUUGGAGUUUCAGAACGACAACCAUCCUCCUCCUCCAAAGAAAACGAAACUCAAAUGAAAACUAAGAUACGUGAAGAAAUAAUGGAGGAGAUGAGAAAGGAGACUGAUUUGAUGUGGCUGGAGAUGAAAAAGGAGAAUGAUCGAAUGCGACAAGAGUUUCUAUCGCAACAAGUUUGUGCUGAGCCGAUUGAACCCCUUGUUAGUCCCACUCCCAAGAGCACAAAGGGGAGUUGUGCGGCUCCUCCAACAUCAGGGGAUGAUAUCAAUGGGCAGNNNNNNNNNNNNNNNNNNNNNNNNNNNNNNNNNNNNNNNNNNNNNNNNNNNNNNNNNNNNNNNNNNNNNNNNNNNNNNNNNNNNNNNNNNNNNNNNNNNNNNNNNNNNNNNNNNNNNNNNNNNNNNNNNNNNNNNNNNNNNNNNNNNNNNNNNNNNNNNNNNNNNNNNNNNNNUGAGGUAACCACUGUGGCCGAUGCAUUUCAGACAUUCGUUGCCUGGCCCAGAGAGCUCAUUCAAUCUAUGCCCGAACCUCAUGUAAUAAUUUCAUUUCAUUAUUUUUUAUUUAUAUUUAUAUAUUACAUAUAAUUUAAUACAAAUGUUGUUUAUCUUGUAGAAACCUUUUCAGCCACCAAGUCCGGAAAAGAAGCGUGAGGUUCAAGUUGACGAUCCUAUAACUUCCCUACGUCUCAUUGCUAGUCAGAUUGGCAAUGAUCCUUUUCCAGUUCCGUGGGAUAAUACAUUUUUCAAAUAAACACUGAACUGCCACUGAUGAUUUACAACACAGACUUAUCAGAAUUUAUAUCUGGGAAACAGGAGCUCAAUAUAAGUAUAAUUCAAUUUUUUAUGAUGUAAGUAUCUUUACCUAUUAUUCAAUUUACUUUAUGUUAAAUUAUUAUUGAUUAUGCUUUAACUAAAAACUUGUAGGUUUUUGCAUAGAGUCUGUAUCACUGAGGGGAAGGAAAAUAUGUAUGGAUUCUUAGAUCCUGCAUAUACUAAUCAUGUUGGACCAAACUCAUCUGAGACUCAAGCAUAUAUCACUAACACCCAGGAAAAAGAGGGAAAACAAAUUUAUUUAUGCCCUUAUAUUAAUGAGUAAGUUUAAUUAUAUGUCAUCAAUUAUUAUUAUUUCAUGUUUUAAAUAUUUACUAACUCUUUUCAUUGAUGAUAUAGGCAUCAUUGGCAGUUAUUUGUCNNNNNNNNNNNNNNNNNNNNNNNNNNNNNNNNNNNNNNNNNNNNNNNNNNNNNNNNNNNNNNNNNNNNNNNNNNNNNNNNNNNNNNNNNNNNNNNNNNNNCUAUUCCCUACACAAGAAGAUUCCCACAAAAUUUAAGGAUAUCAUUGAUACGUAAGUACAUUAAAAACUGAACUUUGUAUAUGUUACUAAUUAAUCAUCUACUAACGAGGUUUUUUGUAUUAACCAGUUCAUGGCGUGGAUAUAACAUCCUAAAAGGUCGAUCAAAUUCAAAUAAUUUGAACUGGAUAAGAAUAAAGGUUUGUAAUUUUUUUCUUUCUCUAUUAUCAUUGUUUAUCAAUAUACUAACAUAUUACUUUUUAUUUAAUUAUAGUGUAAUAAACAACCAGGAAGCUAUGAGUGUGGCUAUUACAUUAUGCAAUGGAUGAUUACCGUUAUAAGACUAGGUGUUAAAACUGGUUGGAAAGAGGUACUAUAUAUGUUAAAUCAUUUUUAUAAUUCUUGAACAUAUAUAUAUAUAUAUAUAUAUAUAUAUAUCUAAAAACUAAUUUAUGUCAACUUUGCAAUGCAGUUAUUCACAGAAGAAACACCAAUGAAUGAGGAAGGCAUUUCAUAUGUUAGAGAUUCUUGGUCCACAUAUUUCAUAAAUUUUUAUAACUCUAGCAUAGGUAAACAAUAGUGGUUUUAUGUAAUUUGAUUACUUGUAAAUGUACAUUUUGAUGAUUUUAAUUGAUUACUAUAUUUCUGUAUUUGUCUGGCUGGGUUUGAUCAUUAUGCAGGUUAUUAAAUUAUUAUAUGGUUUCUGCACAAUACAAACUGCACUUUAAAAAAAAACACUAUUUACAAAUGCGGUCAUUUACCAAGACCGCAUUUGUAAAUGUGCUUUAUGAAUGCGGUUCUUACCAAGACCGCAUUCGUAAAUCCAAAACCCCUAACCCUCAUCCCUCAUUCAGAAUAAUAUACAAAUGCGGUUAUUUUAAGUAACCGCAUUUGUAAAUGUGAUUUAUGAAUGCGGUCCUAUGACCGCAUUUGUAAAUGCCCGAUUUACGAAUGCGUACUGAUCAAAUGCGGUUCUAUAACCGCAUUUGUAAAUGUAAAAUAGCCGCAUUUGUUUUACAUUCUUGCACUAGUGUCAUUUAAUAGCUUAUUUUUCUUCCAUCUUGGUACUAAAAAGGAUAUGCCCUGUUCAAUCAGCAGCAUGAGUUUAUUGUCUAUUUUUUUCAUGUGGUGAAUCAUCUAAUGACAGUAUCUAGUUGCUGCAUAUGGUGGAGAUCAUCCGAUGGAUGUCGUGUAUUUUCUAUAAAAUCAACAUAUGCUGGUGGCUACUAUUAAAUGAUAACGUUGUUCGUAUUUGUUGUGUCAUCAAGAAUAUUUAUAGAUUAUCUAUAAAUGGCUUGGGUUUUGGGGUUAAUUAAUGGCUUUCUAUUCUCGCUUGGUUUCCCCAUAUAAUUACAUAAAAAAGUUUCUCCUUUUUUGCCAAGCAACGUGUACCAAUUUUAUGGUUAGUUAGAAAAUACUGAUGGUCAUACACGAUUUCAUUUCUCCUUCACCAAGUAAUUACAUAACGAUGUUUUACAGUCACAGUUUCGCCAUAACUACGUAGCAAACAUAUUUCUUGAUUCCAAUUCAGGUAUUUGUUUGUUGCUUCUUUUCUUCCUUUAUAUUACUUUUACGAACCAAAACACACAACAACCGUAUUUUUCUUUUCUGCAAACAAUUUGGUGUUGCUUAUGUCUCCUUUUGUAGUUCUAUUAUUGCACAAAUCAUAAUAAUGGCUUCUGGUGUUGACAAUGACAGACCCUCCUCACAACGUUCGCUAUAAAAAAGUGGGAAAAUGCUAAACUUUGCUUGGAAGCCUGGAAUAUGUAUUGAUGAAGAUCUAAGAAAAAUUCAAUGCAAAUUUUGUUUAAAAACCAUACCACGAGGAGAUUUAUCGUUUUUUUUAAUCAGCAAUGAAUAAAUUAAUAAAUUAAUAAAAGAAGAUAUUUCAGGGUAUUCCAACCUAUAUACAAAAUCUCUUAAUUACUCCUUCUUAUGGUUUAAACAAAACCCCACUAUGUGGCUUAACCCACCUCAUUACAACCCCAAACAGUGUACACUUAACUACAUCCACCCAACACCUAUUCUACAAGCAUGUACCAGCCACUUGGAGCAGCAACCAGAGGGUGCACCAAACAUCUCAAAAAAGCUUGGAGAAAGAGAGGCCUCAACCAAACCAGGUAGGAAAAACAGCAGUCAACACAAUAUUAAAGUAAAGUUGGAAGGAAAAUGUUAAGAAAACAAAAAAAAUACUUAAGUAACCGUUACUUUUAAAUUUUUUAAUUUUAGAUUUAUUUACUUAUUAUAAUAAUUGAUAUAACUUUUUGGAUUAUAAAAAUAUAAGAAAGAACAAUAAACUUAAAAUAAAUUUUAAUAUUUUAAUGAAAUAAAGUUAGUACCUAACAAAAUAAAUAUCAACAAUAAUUCAAUGAAUUAAAUAAAGUUCUAUAUAAAACAUUAAUACCACCAAUUUUUAUUAAAAAAACAUUCUCAUCAAAAGUGUAAAAAAUAAAAAGGAUCAACCCGUCUUGUCCUACCCUCGUUUGUGGCCUGUUAGCAGAUUAUACUAGCCGAACCAAUACGGGGUUCAAAAAGUGAACCAAUCCCACUUAAAUAAUGGUGAGCUGACCUUUGGAGCUCGUCCCAUUUUCUCAUUCCUGACAGUAAGAACUUUACUUCUAAAACAUUAGGUUUGGUGAAAUAGUGGUAUGAUGUUGCAAUCAUUUAAGAAAGUAACUAGAAUGAGAAAGUAUCUUAAAAAUAUUAUUGUCUUCCUUUCGAAAAAGAAAAUAAGUGGUGCAAAAUUGUGAAGAAUAUUUGAGCUAGUAUCUCGUAGUGACGUAGAAAAUAACAAAUGAAAUAAUGGUGGCUUAUGCGGUUGCGUUGUUUUGGUGGCUGUGUAAUGAGAAGUUAAGUAUGUUGUGUGAAUUCAUGAAGCCUAGGUAAACUAUACAAGCUCUAAUAUUCUUGUUGAUACAAAAAUAAUUAAUAAAAAAAAGAAGAUAAGGGACUGAACUCCAAAAAGCAGUAAAUAAUAGAUGAACACAAUAUUGAUUGAAGUCUCAAAUCAAACACACUUUUCCGAAAAGGAGGGGUGGCAGAGAUGAUAUUGUUACGAAGUUCAAUCUUCAGAGUAUUUAACUUCAGCAACUCACAUAGAUACACACAGAACAUAUCUAACUUCAUCGCACACAACAGAUGGCCCUGUAGGUCCAUCUUAUUCAUAAUUGAAUCACUUAAGAAGAAAAAACAGAGACUUAAACUUUUGUUCAUAAUACUUGUACACAAUACAGUUACCAUCAUCUUUCCCUCCACCUCUUAUUGCAAUGCAGAAAUCCCAGUUACCCUAAAAGAAAUAAAGGCACAGUUAUAUAUAUAUAUCUUCAAGUUUAACUAAUUUGUUUAAAAUAAAGUAAGCCAAUACAAGGACAUGCCAUGACAUAAUGACAAUUAUAUUAAACCCUUCUCAUGUGACAUGUUGUUUUAUGCAGUCCCUUAGUACAAAUAAUUAUGAAAGGGUAUCUUGUAAGCAUCAUCAAAGGUUCUGAAUAUUGUCAGUUCUAUGCAGCUAAUGAUUUUUAUUCUGUUUUAUUUAAUCACCGAUUUUAACUUCAAUUUGGAGUGUUUUAUAUAAAUAUAAAAAAAAGAAAUUAUCAAACACUAGUAACAUUUAUAUCCUAAAAGGAAAGUAAAAAGUGUAGUAUGCAUGUCAUGGAACACAUAUCUUGCACUUACCAGACGCCUUCAGGAAGAAGAAGAACUUGAGAUACUCAUUACUGUUUUUAUGACUGAUGGAUUACCUGAAUAUAUGAGAGAGAGUGAGUUGAUAGGAAAAACUAUAUAUAACUAGGUAGUGAACCGGACCGGUUCAUUCAUGACGUCCAAUGAAAAAGGUUGCAAAUUGCCCUGACGGUAAGAGGGCUUAAAUUGCUGUUGGUAUUAAAAUUCUUCGUUUUCUCUAUGUAACUGGUCCUUCUCACUUUUAGCCUUUUCAAUUAUGCAACUCAAACAAAAUAUUUGGCUUAUAUUUGAGUGUCACCAAGAAAUUAGACUUCACUAUGGAAAAUAGCUAUAGACGGAGAUCUAAGCUUAUGGGUAUCCCACGCCUAAUGUCUUCCAAGUUCAACAUAAAUCAUCCAUGAAACAAAACCUAUUGCUAAAUAAUACAAUAUAUUCUAAUUUAUUUGGGGUUAGAGAAGAAAAAGAAGAAUAUAAUAAUGCGAUAUUCAUGCUUGAAAUAAGAAAGAAUAUAUUUUACUUUCAUUUAAAAUUUUUAGUAUAAUAUUGAAAACAUUAUUAAAAGUAUUUUGAAGUAAUAUAUGACAUCAUUGUAAUAAAAAAAAUGGCAAGUAUAAAAAAAUAACAAUUCAAUUGGGAUGAUGAAUUCCUACCUGAUUGUGAAACAACUGUCGGAUUGUUGCGUUGAGAUUCCCGUGGAAGGUUAAAUCAGAAGAAUCCUUUGAUGUUUUAAUUCCCAAAAACAUUGACACUUUUAUGACUCCUUCAGAGAAAGUUUCCAUUUUAGGACAUUUGGCUACUAUUACCUUUUUCAAAUAUGAGCAAUGCAAAGUGGCAUUUCCUGAAUAAAACCUUACUAGCCUUGGUAAGCAAUUCAGCUUAAUUGAUCUUAGUCUUCCGAAUACCAUUUCAUCACAAUCAUCUUCAUCUUCAUCUUCAUUUUUUGCAAUUUCUUUUAUUGAUUCACACUUAUUUAUAGUUAAGGUCUCAAGUUUCACUAAACUUUUGAGUGUUGCAAAUGUGAAUAAAUACUCCAUCCUUUUACACUUCCCCACAGAUAACUUUUGAAGAUUAAUGAAAGACAUUGCAGACGUAGCUAAUUUUUCUACCUGAGGGCACUUGUUGAGCUUUAAUAUUUCAAGUUUUUCACAGUAUGGUUGUACCCAAGGAUGCUCUAAACCAAUCCACUCUAACUCAUUUAGCUGAUCCAAGUAUAAUUGUUUCAAUCUCACAAAUACUGUGUCAUGAAUUUGAAGCUUUUGAGAGGGAAAUAUCUCCUUCAGACCAAAGCAUUGGUGUACAAAAAGAAGUUCUAAAUUGGGUACCUUGUGAAAGAAAUCAAAAGGCAAAGUACCUUUCUCAUUGUUAUCCUCAAAGUAAAUUACAAGAUAAUUUAGUUUACAAAGAAGGUCUUGUGGAAAAUGUGCAUAUCUCAUAAGCUUAAUGUUUUCCUCUUUGAGUGCUAAUCCCGUGAGUUUGGGAAAAACCUAGUAUUUGAAGUCAAAUAAGUUCGAAAUGUAAUGUGUGAUAGUUAGAUACUAUAAGAGGAAAAUAAUAAUGAAAAUAAGAGAAAGUGCAAAAAGGUAAAGUUCUGAUGCUUCGUUACCUUUUCAACCGAGAACAAAGGUUGUUGUAUCAGACUAAUUGAAGCCUCUAUAACUCCUUUCUGACUAUCAUCAAAGUCUGAUGUGAACAACUUCAGAUUAGGACAACAUAUCACAAAUAAGACUUUUAACGAGGGACAUUCCAGAUGAUGCUUUCUAGGGUAAAAGCAACUCAACAGUGGCAUGUUUUCAAGAUAUAGAAAGGACAAAACAGGUAAUUCAAACAUAAAUGUCGUUCCAUGAUCCAUUCCAUCUUCCUUUCCAACUAUUUCUAUCAAUUUCUCACACCUCUCCAUAUGAAGUGUCUCAAGAUUCUCAAGAUUUUUUGCAAGGGAUGAAGAGAACAGUGUUACCAAGUUUCCACACCCUUUGACAACCACUUCUUGCAAUUUGGGAAAGAUGACAGUUCCUUCGAGGUUUUUCUUCCAUACACAUUUCAAAUUUGGCAAGUAUUUUAAAGUAAGUUUUUUCAAACAAAAGACUAUUCUCUUCGUCUUGACCUCAAUCUCAUCAAUGUCAAAUAUUACUUGCACUGCACCAGAACUAUGCACAUUCAAUUCUUCUAAGUUCUUUAAGUAAGGAAGUACAUGAGAUGGAAUUACAAUAGGUCUAUUGCAUCCUGCAUCAAAUUCCAAUGUCUUGAAACUGCCAAAAAGUUGUCCGAAAUAAGAGGGUUUUUGUGCUGAACAUUCGCCAUCUCAAGAUAAUCGUCAAGAAUCAUAAGCUUUGAAUAGUUGAAAAAACCCUAAAAGAACAUAAAACACAAUGACAAAUUAAUAGACAACCAUAUGCUUUGUAUUUAAUUGAGAUGACUUGGAUUUAUCUUUCAUUGUUGAAAACUAUAUAUUUACAUUAUUAGUUGUGAAAUAUAAAAUUAUCUUAUAUUAAAGUUCAUUUUUCUUUUUUCUUUUUUAGUUAAAUUAUGAGCUUAUUGUUUACUUUUAUAAUGUGUGCCAACAAUUUCAGAUAUAAAAAAGAGAGCAAAAUAACAAUAAAAGAUGGUUGAUGGUUAAUGGUUUUAGCGCGGAUGAAAUUAGGGAUAUUAAGGGGACCGUGGGUUUAACUACUUCAUCUUUGUCCUUAAAGUAAAAGUUCGUAUUCAUCUCAUUUCCAUAUUACAAUGGUAUGAACUUUAAUUUCGAUGUAGGGUAUAUGGUACCUAUGCUUAUCCUUGUCCUCUUAAUAUUAUAAAUAUUAAUUAAAUAUUUUUUUCAUAAAAUAUAAAAAUUAGAAUGGAAACAUAAUAUUAUCACAUAUCCAAUGUCAAAUGGAUAUAUAUUUUAUUUUCUAAAAUAUCAAAUAUUAAGAAAAAAAAUAUAAUUAUAUUUUUUAUCGAAAAAAAUAAAUAAAAUUAAUUAGAACACUUCUAAAGAUGACCCAAUCCUUAUACAAUAACCUAAUCCAACAGAACCAUUAUUAAGAGUGCCUAAGGAGUCUGUCUACACUGCAAAAUAUUUAUCAUCAAAAGAGAAAUGAAAACAACACUCACAACAGAAUAUAUACAAAAAGCCCCAGUUCAUUUCCAAAACAGUUCCACCAAGAUUGCUUUAAAUUUUGUUUUUAGUACCAACCUUACCCUCUUUUAUGUUAUGUUGUUAUAACCCAUUAGUUCUGAUUUAAACAUGUCCUAUACCUCAGAUACCUUCCCUUCCCAACAUUACUAACAACCCAAACUAACUCCCCUUCAUCAUCACAUGAAAACCUGCAUCCAAAGAAUGUAUUAAUAGCCCAAGACACCUCCACACCUGCACCGUUUUUGCAUACAAAUACAAACUUCCCACACAUUUUCCGUCUAUGUUAGGUACACCUCUUAAUAUAGAGGAGGGAUUCAUAUGCCAAUCUGAAAACAAGUACAUAAAAUACUUCAUCCUACAUUUUAGCCACAACCAUGUUUUCAGUUGUGCCACAUGAAAAAUUUCCUUUAUGUCGACUUGUCCUUGCUUAAAAACUAUUUUAUUCCUAUGAUCUUAGAUAUGCUCCAUACAAUAGUCGCCCAAGCCUCUUUGCAGACCAAAUUUUGUUUAUGACUAAUAUUAAUCAAAUAAAAGCUUUCAAAGUGACUUUUUAAGUCCUUAUGUUGGACAUACAUAAUUCCAAUCCAUUUGUAACAACUAUUACAAACUUGAUAUGCAUACUUGCACUCCAAGAACAGGUGUAGGGAUGUUUCUUCCUGCUCCUGACAUAGAGCACAAACCAUUGUACCAACCAUGACACUUCGCCUAUACAGAUUCACUCUUGUUGGAAAUCUGUCCAACGAGACCCUCCAAGUUGUAGUCAAUACAUUUGGGAAAACUUUAGACAUCCAUAGACAUUUAUAAAUGUGACUUUCAAUACCAUUGAUACAAUUUGAGAUACUUUCAUAUGCAACUUUGACAGAGAACUCAGCUCCCUCCCAAAGCUUUAUAUCAUUCACCUCCCUAUCCAUCCUUAUGCCAGAUAUAGUUCUUAGCAUUUCAUCCAGUAGUGCAUCUUCCCAUUCAAAUCUAUUCUCCAACUAAGAUUCCAGUGCCAAGCCAAAUCUUCCCAAACCCCUAACUCUCCCACUUUUGACCCUUGGUGUAAAGAUAUUAAGUAUAAUCUUGGAUACAUAGAUUUUAGAGAAUUCUUGUUAAUCCAAUUAUCUUCCCAGAAUCUAACUUUGUCCCCAAAUCCAACUUUCCAUCCAAUUGCUUAUUGUACCCAUCCAUCCCUUUCUCCCUCUCCACAUACUUUCAGAAGGUCUUUCCACCACCAUGACUGAUAACUUGAAGGGGUUUGUGUCUGACCUGACACACAACCAUACUUUGAAAGCAAAAUCUGUCCAUUUACCCCUUUCAUCAUCCUCUAAAAGCUACUUCCAUUUUGCUAAGAGUGCAUAAUUGAACUUGGGAAUGUCCUUGAUACCUAGCCCUUCCUUCUCCUUUGCUUUACAAAGUUGUUCCCAACUUAUCCAAAUUACCCAAAUUAAUGUUUUACUUCCCCCAACCCUAGAUAAACCUCCUUUGGAUGCUAGUAAUAUUUUUAUAAACCGAUUCAGGGGCUUUAUAGAAGGAUAGGUAGAAUAAAGGUAGGGCUGUGAAUAGUAAUUUAAUUAAGCAUAUUCUUCUUGUCAGAGACAAAAACUUCCCCUUCCAAGUACUUAGUCUAGUCCUUAAUUUGUUCAAAAUAGGUUCCCAAAACAGUACCUUCCUCGGGUUUCCACCCACCAUCAUACCCAGAUGCUUGAAAGAUAUCGACAUUUGCAUGCAAUUUAGAGUCCUGGCAUAACAAUCAUAAUUGUUUCUUUCCAUGUUUAUGGCCGCUAAUUUAGAUUUAUGGAAAUUGAUUUUCAAUCCAAACGCUAGCUCAUAACAUCUAAGAAUAGCUUUAAUUGUAAGCACACUCUAGUAGCUAUCUUCACAUAAAAAAAGGUGUCAUAAGCAAAUUGUAGAAUACAAGACUCAACUUCGAGCCUACCUAAUUUUACACCCUUAAGCAAUUUUCUCUUAACAUCCUGUCUUACUAGCCCAACUAGUCCCUCUACUACUAUGAUAAAUAGAAAAGGAGUCAGGGGAUCACUUUGCCUUAGCCCUCUCGAAGGAGUGAAUUUCGUUGUGGGGCUCCCAUUUACCAAUAUCGAUACUGAUGCAAAGACUAAGCACCCUCUUAUCCAAUUAACCCACUUUUCACGAAAGCCUAGUGCUUGUAGCAUGCUAAAAAAAAUCCCAAUUGACCGAAUCAUAGACUUUUUCAUAAUCCACUUUCAUAAAAGUUGGUUACAAAAGCUAUGAAAGAUGCAUUGCAACCUUUAGGGAUGCAACCCGUGUUCUAAAAUUUCCUAACCGCUCUUAAAAUAUCAUCUUUUAAAACUUUCCAAUUGUGUUUUAUGAAAUUAAAGUUGAAACCAUCCGGUCCCGGGCUUUUUGACCCAUCACACUGGCACACUGUUUCCCUCCCCUCUUCCUCUAUAAAGUCAUAUAUAAGCUUUUGGUUAUCCUUCUGGGAUAUGGAAUUAAAAUCUAUUGCUCCAAGUCUUACCCCAAAAUCCUUUAUGGCAUUGAAUCUAUCCUCAAACAAUUUUUUUGCUUCCAACCGUACGAUUUGUGGUUCCUCUGACUCCCAAUUUCCAUUCCUUUAACUUCAUUCCUCAUUCUUCUCCACCUUAUAAUAGAAUGAUAAUACUUUGAGUUGGAAUCAUUGAACUUCAUCCAAUUAGUCCAAGCCUUUUGGUGCAUAAGUGAGUCUAUCUUACUAUGUGUCAUCCUUAGCUGACUAACAAGGUUCAUCCUCUUCAAUCUAAAGUUGUCCCCCAACUCACUAAUAUCAUAUUGGUUGUCCAUAACCUCAAUUUCCUUCAGAAUUUUAUUUUUUGUUGCUUCCAACAGCCCAAACAUUUCCCUAUUACAAACUUUGAGAUCUCCCUUUAGAAUUUUCAUUUUAUUUUUAAAAAUCCUUAUUCCAUCACCAUGUACACUACAAUUGUUCCACUUUUCUUUCACAAAUUCCUUGAAGCCACAUUCCAACAACCAUUUGAUUUAUACCAUGUAUACCUUUUACCAAUGACAGGAAUUUCCAUCAAGAGAUUAUUUUCAAUAAAAUCAUUAAACCUUCUUAUUUCAUUUGUUUGGCUACUCCUAAUGUUGAUUCACUUCCUUUCAUUUAUAUUUCUGACAGCAUUAAAAUCAUCAAGUAUGCACCAAUUAUAGAGAUGAUUUGCCAAUUUAAUGUUAGUUAUUUCCUCCCAAAGGGCGCUCUUUUCGCUAGCAUUGCAUGGUGCAUACACAUUAACCACCGAAAUGUUUCUUUGAGAUUUUAUGUGCUGACCAAGAAUAACGAUAAAACCUUUUCCUAAUAGAUGCUUAUCAUAAUUGAAAACCUUUGCCACAUGGUUAACAUACUUUCCGCUCCUUCUACACCUUUAUUAUGUAACCAUCCUAUGUUGUUAUCUCCCACAGGGAAAAACAUUUGGCGUCUGAUAUGAAGUCGGUUUUUGUUUUUGUAUCCUGAAUACAUACCACCUUGGCUCCCUCUUUAGAGAUUAUAUUCCUGAGAUAGCACCUUUUAGCACCCCUUCCUAGCCUUCUAAUGUUUAUGCUUAUAAUGAUCAUAAACAAUCUGCUUUGUUACCCUUCUCACAUUUUUUCACUUCAGAAUCCCUCUCUUCCAUACGUUUCAACUCUCUAAUAACCUCUUCCUCUUCCCCACAACAGGUUAUUCCUAAUUGUUUACCUAAUUACCAUAUUUUAAUUGGUUAUGCUAUAUCUACUGAAUUUAAAGAAUUUAGAUCCAAUCUGGAAUUGUCGUUGUUUCGAACUUGACGAUCUUCCAAGCCUGUUAAAGACUUCCAUCAAGGUCUCCUGUUGAAUUCUCCUAUUUCCUAGAUCCCUCGUAACCUCUAUUGUCGUGGUGGGAUGCAAAAUUUACCUCCCCAUACACCUCUAUUCUCAUUCGAAAACUGUGGCAGUCUCAAUGCUCAAAUGUAUGACCUAAAACUAAAUUACGAAACUAAAGACCAAAUAAAAUUUAAUAUAAUUUUUUUAUGUGACUUAAUAAAGUAAAGGUGUUUUUGUAAUUUAAAAUUAGAAUAUGUAUGAGGAUGGAGAUGUAUUCGAAUAUGAUGACGAGAACAAGACGUAUAUACAUAUACUUGUUCCUGUCGGUUGACUCGAUUGCCUUCGUACGUCUCACGACGAUCAUACGUCCAAUUCUCUCUAUCUUCGUUCGUGCCUUUCCUUUGAUCAAAACACCUGAACCUGCAAAGACAAAGGGGCGCCCUAGGGGCCGUUUGCACUCCGACACUCAAGUCAGUAUUGGGGCUAGGAAACACCAAAACUUAGCUGUAAAAAGCUCUCUGUAAAACUGUGUGUGUAUCGCGUAAAUGUUGCGUACCUUGUUAGGCUUGUUACUACCAUUUAUAUACUUUAGGGUUUCUGCUGUUUCUGCCACCCAUAUUUAGGGUUUCUGAGGGUAUGCCUUAGCGCUGCUAUCAUCCACUCUUAGGGCAAUCUAGCGCGUAAGGCUCCCUUACUGGAGUGCAACCUCUGAUGGGAUGAUCACCUAGGUAUCAACUUGUGCACCUAAUCUCUGGGGUCAUCCGUCUUGGGAGUGCCCUAGCUGUUCAAGUGCCAUGCAUGCAGCCUGCCCCUGGAACGUAACCCCCACGGGCCUUAACUCUUCCAGUUGGUCUUUACUUGCGCUACGCCUGAAAGCGCUCUUUACACAUGCAAGGACCCCUCGUGAUCUAGGCUUCUCCCUACUGAUAACUGGUGUGUUAUCUGGGAUCCACCUCUCGUGACCCAGCUCUGCUGUUUGAGUCACUGAUGUCCGAUGUCACAUCGCCCUCACUCUGUUGCCGAGGACACAUCAGCACAUCCUGGUGAUCAACGUCUGACUACUCUUCAGCACCUUGGAUCGCGUCGCUCGUGAGACACUAGAUCAUGCCGCUCGUGGGACCCAUCUUACGUGGCCCACCAUUACUAGCAGUCAAUGACGUUCGAGGAUUAGUCGGUACAAUACUCUUCCUCAUUCUCAUAACCAAUUUAAAAAACCAAGUAUCAUCUAAACCCAUACUCAAUCAAUACAAAGAUUUCAAGUUAAAAUCGAAAUGAAUUUGGACAAUAACCAAAGGAAUGUAAAAUAAUAUAAAAGGAGAAUUAUUGUAAGUAGAUCAAUUGUAAUUGUAGGGAAUAAAUAAAGUUAUAAUUGAAUCAUGUAUUUGUUUUAAACUAUAUACUUAAUAGUUAGUAUUAAAUCAAAAUUACAUCUCUUAGUAUGAAUAAAGAGGUUACACUUGAAUGCUCUGCUUUGAAGUCAUUUAAACUUUGAAUCUGAACAACGGUGCCCAUUGUAGGGCCAGGUAAAAUUUUCCUUAUCUUUGCAAGGCAACACAACGCGACAUCGUGGAAAAUGUUAACAAAACAGACGUAGGAGCAUAACAUGAACGAAAUUGCAAGCGGCACAUGUAUGCCUAAUUUCUGACACUACCAGUUCACUUUAAAAACGCUUGACCAUUAGGUCUAAUUCUCAGCACUACUAGUCGAGUUUAAAAAGACUUGAUCGUUCUUCCUAAUUCUUGAGACUACCAGUCGACUCUAAAAGGCUUGAUCGUUAGAUCUAAAUCUUGGCACUACCAUUCGACACUAAAAGGUUCGAGCAAUUGUCAGAUUAUUAAAAGGAUGACUGAUUAGCCUCAACCAUUAAAAAAAUGAAUAAGUAGGGCAUCAUAAAACAAAAUUGAGCAAUUUCUCAGCGAAUAUACGAUUUUAAGCCUUUUCAAAUUAACCUCAACCUAUGUCAUGAAAAUAGGCAAUAUAAUAUUUUUGUGCACGACCAUAAAUCAAUUAAGUACAACUUACAUAAUUUAUAUCUAAUAUUUUGCUGGAUAAACCUCUUUGUACCCAUAUCUCCUAUUGAAAGAGAAUAUAACUUAUAUAAAGAGUACGCUAUAAGGCUUAUUGAUCAUUAACAUAAAUUUGAAACCAUUUAAACUUUAAACUUGUGUUGUCCCGGUCUACUCAGUCUUAAGGAGGCCAUGACUUAAGAUUUGGUUUAAAUAAAAGGAAACUUAGGACAUGAUAGGAUAAAAUCUGAGGGCAAGGGGUACACGGAUAAAAUUCGAAAAAAAGAGAUACUCGGUAACAGGGCGACCCAAACACUCUUCAAACUAAAAGAUGAGAAAACAACGAGGGAAUCGAAAAAUUAUUUGGACGGGUUCAGAUGAGAAACCUCAAACAAUCAUAAACCCAAAAUCGCCUUUGAGCCAUAACAGAACUAUUAUUAAAAGUUAUAACGUAUGAUAUUUUUAAUUUUUAAUUUUAUUAAAUUAUGAUUUUACGUUUUGUAAUUUGUAAUUGUACCGUGCAGGAGAGCUCGUCAUCUCAGCCCAAGUAUUUGGGGGAGGUCAACUCGGUGUUUAGGCCCAAGAGGUGGAUCGUGAGCUAGACCCAGAUGUUGGUCAGUCCAGCGAGGUAAUUAAGAUAAAAGAUAAAGAGAUAUUUUAUCUGUUGUGAUAUUAUUCUGAAGAUGAAAAAUAUAAUGGUUAUUGUUUAAAUCUUUUAUCAUAUUAUUAUGAAAAUAACAUAUAUAUGUAAAUCUGUUAUCAUGUUAUUAUGAAGAUAACAUAAAUGAUUAUUUAUCACGAUCUUUAAGUUUUUUGUGAUAUUAUUCUGAAGAUAAAAAGAUAUUUUAUCUUUUGUGAUAAUAUGCAUGUUAGUUAUAUAUUAAUUAAUACAUGUUAGGUACAUAUUAAUUAAUAGUUGUAGAGAAUAAAAGAGGAAUCCGAGAAUAAUGGUGCACAUGUGAACAGAAUGUGAGGCAUCUGCUGCUGAUGUGAGGCAUAAUGUGAGGCAUCUGCUGCUGAUGACAAACAACUCUUUGUUCUUUCUAUAAGUGUGAACGUGAAACUUGAAUGCAAAUGUCUAAGAACAGAGGGGGUACUCCUUUCUUCUUCUCUAACUUUCCCUUUGAUCUCAAAGAAACAGAUUUGUGGAAAAUUUUCAGAAGAUGGGGGAGGGUGAGCGAUGUUUUUAUAUCUAGAAGAUUGAACAUCAAGAUGCAAAGGUUUGAUUUUGUUAGAUUCCAGGGAGUACAAAAUAUUAGAGAACUGGAGAACCAGUUGAACACAAUAUGGAUUGGAAGCUGGAAACUAUAUGCUAAUAGACCGAAAUAUAACAAGUCAGCAGAAACAAGAAAGGAAUGGAAUGAAAAGCAGAAAGAGAAGGAAUUAGAAUCAGAGAAAGUGGUUAAAAAAGAAUGGAGGGUAAAGGGAAAAAAUUCUUACGCAAAUGUGGUCAACAAUGGAGUCAGAAACAGAGAACAUUCUUUGAACAAGUCAAAUAUAAAUGCUAUACACUUUAAAGUGGAAGAAACACCAAGAGAAUGGUUAAAACAGUGUUAUAUUGGGAGGGUUUUGGAUCUAACCAAAGUAUCAGGUUUGAAUGAAAGCUUUAUUCUGGGAGGCCUCAGUUUCAUAAAGAUUAAAUUUCUGGGCAGUUUUCAUGUUCUUUUGAUGGGCGAAAACGAAAUGAAGAUUAAAGAAGCUAUAGAGGAAAACAAAGAGUGGUUCGAAGAUUUGUUUGAUACUAUUAUCCCAUGGGAAGAUCAAUUUGUAGCGGUGGAUAAAAUGGUUUGGGUGAGAUGCAGAGGAUUGCCAGUGAAGCUAUGGAAUACUGAGUGCAACACAUUGCUGCGUUACUAGGAACUCUGGUUGAGGUAGAUGAAGCAACAUUGUAUUUGGACGAAUUAGAGUAUGCAAGAUUUAAAGUUAGAGUAUCAGUGGGUUGUGAGGCAAAGAUAACCAGUUAUAUGAGAAUCAACGAAGUCCUGUAUCAGGUAUCAGUGGAGGAAGAAUGCACAGUUCCUGAUUACAAUCUUUGUCAAUGUCAUUGGGGCGGAAAGUCUGAUGGAGUUGAUUCUGAAGUAGAUUCAAUGGCGUCGCAUGCAUCAGGUUGUUCGAAGAAUGGGGCCUUUGAAGAUGCAAGCAAGAUUGAAGAGGAGGAAGAAACGGUGGAAAUGAGCAAGACAAAACCACUGCUUGAACAGGACCGCCGGAGAUCUGUACCAUUAUCACCGUUACACUGCUGUGACACUUUUCCGGCAAAACCCCUAGGGGCUACAUCUGCACCUAUUUGCUGUCUAAUCACCAAGAAGGAAAACGUAGGGUCUGCAACAUCAACGGCUAUAAGCAGGGCUGACAAGGCAAAGAUAAAUGGGCCUUUAGAAAUGGUCCAAUGUGUUUCGAAACAGACACACCUAGCGGAUGCGAAAGGGGGUGCAAGUUACAAAAUCAAUUUGAGUCAGAUUAUAAUUCAAGCCUAAUUACUGGAAGGGUGGAGGAAUCAUUUCGGAUUGGAUUACUGGGAAGCCCAGUUAACAUAGAAAGAAUUAACAAUUUGGAAGAAGCUGAACACAGUGGGCAACCUCAUAAUGGAAAAUAUGCCGUCGCACACCAUGCUCACAGCCAACUCCAGAAAGAUGUCGUACCAGCACACCACACUCAAAACGAAGCAAUCACUACACCCCAGUCCCACACAGUAGAGGAAAUGAAGGAGAAACGGAUUCAGCUACCGCACACCUUGAAUUGGGCAACGCAAAAUCAAGGGUUUCUACCCUACCAUGCUCAAUCGUCGGCGGAAGAAGAGAUAGUGAGGGAGGCGGUUUCACUGAUCUCAAUUUCGAAGGUGGAGGAUUCUCUUCGUACGACACACACCACGUCGGAAGGGCGAUCUCCUUGUCAUCAUGUGCCAGCUUCCGCGGAGCACAAUCACACACAGAGCUAUCUUCACUCAGGGUCGAGAUCGCACAGAAUAACUGAAAGAUUUGUACCAUUCGAGGAGCAAAAUAAAAGGGAGUCUCGAUUGGUAUUGGAAGGAACAGGAAAACAAAAGAAGGAAAACAAUGAAGUGUUGUCCCUUAAUUCCAUCGACACAAAUGAAAGAAGAGUUUUUUGGAUGGGUGAAUCAAGCAAAAAUAGCAAACAGAGAGACCGCAAGCAUAUAAGGUCAGUCCUAUCCCAAAUUAGUAACUCUAUGUCUGACAUGGCUAUAAACAAUUGCGAUCGUUUAUUUUGGCAAAAACGUGGAAGCUUAGAAACGAUUAGAUUAUGGGAAUUGGGUAAACAGCUAGGUGCUACAUGUGGGGAUGAAGGAAAAAUUAUGCUAAGUCUGGAAGAACUUGAAAAAAGGGAUAUAAUUUUAAAAUCUCAAAGGGAAGCGGGGAAAAUAUGGGUUACUAAUGAGAAUACUAUCUUUAAAUGUGAGAGGUUUGGGAAGUCCGGUAAAGUGGAGAUAUAUUAAGGAUAUAAUUAGGAACAAAGGUGUCAAAAUGGUAUGCAUGCAGGAAGUGAAAAUAGCAAGUUUCAGUUUAAAUAACUGUUGUCAGUUAUGGGGGGAUAACGAUGUAGAUUAUUUCUACAGCGAACCAAUUAACGGAGCAGGUGGUAUUCUUACAAUUUGGCACAAAAUAAAUUUUCAAUGUUCAAAUCAUAUUAUUAAUAGAUGGUUCAUAAUUUUUGUCGGGAUUUUUAGGGAGAGUAAUAUUCCUGUUGUUAUUACAAAUGUAUAUUCUUCAUGUAAUUUACAAUUGAAAGUGCAAAUGUGGGAGGAACUAAAAGGAAUCAGACAAAGGGAACCUUGCAAUUCAUGGUGCAUGUUGGGAGAUUUCAAUGCUAUAAGAAAAGAAGGGGAAAGGAGGGGGAUAAGUCAAGCUAGAGGAAAUAAGAGAGAAAUGCAAGGAUUUAAUAACUUCAUUGAUAGUAUGGAGUUGAUUGAUAUACCUUGCACCGGGAGAAAAUAUACAUGGUAUAGACCUAAUGGAAAGGCUAAGAGCAGACUUGACAGAUUUUUAACUACUUUUGAGUGGUUGCAACAUUGGCCAGGCAGCAAACAAUAUGUCUUAGACAGACAAGUAUCUGAUCAUUGUGCAUUGGUGCUAAAAGCAAACUUAGCAGAUUGGGGACCAAAACCAUUCAGGUUUCUAGACAUUUGGCAGGAACAUAAAGAGUUUGACAACUUUGUUAGAGAUAAAUGGGGAAGUUAUUUGGUUCAGGGAAAUGAAAUUAUUGUGUUAAAAGAGAAGCUAAAAAUGCUAAAGAGCGAUUUGAAAGGGUGGAAUAAAGAUGUUUUCGGCUAUACAGAUAAGCUCAAAAUGGAAAUCUUGAAUAAAAUACAAGAGCUUGAUAGGAGAGAUGACGAAGACGAGUUAGAUGAAAACAAGAUCAGGGAACAGAGAGAGCUCCUGAGUCAGUUACAAGAUAUCAAUAUGAGAAACGAAUCCUUACUACAACAAAAGUCAAGAGCAUUAUGGUUUAAGAAAGGGGAUUCCAAUUCUAAGUACUAUCAUGCUUCAAUUAAAUGGAGGAGGAUGAGGAAUGAGAUCAAAGGUUUACAUUGUUAUAAUUCUGAUAAGUGGGUGGAAGAGCCGAGUAUGGUCAAGGAGAUGGUUAAAGAAUUCUACAAGAAAAAAAUGUCGGCGGUCGAGGAUAUUGGUGUUAGGUUGGAUAAUGUUGAAUUUAAAGAAUUAACAGAUUCUGACAACAAGUUCCUGACUGAACCUUUUGAGGAUAAUGAAAUUAAGGAGACUAUCUGGAAUUGUGACAGUAGUAAAAGCCCUGGCCCAGAUGGAGUGACAUUCAGUUUUAUCAAAAAGUAUUGGGAUUUGUUAGAAAAGGACGUAAUGGGUGCAGUAAAACAUUUUCACAGUGGAGGGAAGAUCCCAAAGGGAUGUAAUGCUUCAUUCAUAACAUUGAUACCAAAAUCUGAGAACCCUCAAUCUCUUGAAGAGUACAGACCCAUCUCACUUGUAGGAUGCGUGUACAAGAUUCUGACAAAAGUAUUAUCUAGAAGGAUCAAAAAAGUUAUUGAGAAGGUGAUAGAUGGAUCACAAUCAACGUUUUUAUCUAAUAGAGGAUUAUUAGAUAGUGUCCUUGUUGUGAAUGAAGUCAUGGAUGAUUUGAAAAGAAGGAGGAAAAGUGGGGUGGUCGUAAAACUUGACUUCGAAAAGGCGUACGAUUCAGUGAGUUGGGAAUUCCUAAUAUACAUGAUGAGUAGACUAGGUUUUUGCGAAAAAUGGAAACAGUGGAUUACAGCAUGCCUUGAAUCAACCACUAUAUCGGUUUUGGUAAACAGUAGCCCGACAAAAGAAUUCAAAUCGUCUAGAGGCCUUAGACAAGGGGAUCCGAUGGCACCUUUUUUGUAUCUGAUUGUUGCACAAGGUUUGGCUGGACUAGUAAAACAAGCGACAAGAAAAAACUUGUUCUCAGGUUUAAAAGUUGGGAAUAAAAAAGUGGAGGUGAAUCUACUACAAUUUGCUGAUGACACUCUCUUUGUGUGUGAAUCAAAGGUACAAAAUAUUUUGAGCAUCAAGGCUAUGUUAAGAUGUUUUGAACUAAGCUCCGGUCUCAAAGUAAACUUCCACAAAAGUAAAAUAGGAGCAAUUGGAGUAGACAGGUAUGAGGUAAAAAUGUACUCAGAGAUACUUCAUUGCAGCCUAAUGGAUAUACCAUUCACAUACUUAGGCCUACCUAUUGGUGGUAAUCAGGCUAGGUGCUCUUUUUGGGACCCUGUAUUAUCGAAGAUAAGAAAGAAACUCUCAGUAUGGAAAGGGAGGAAUCUAUCCUUCGCGGGUAGAGUUUGCCUUAUAAAAUCUGUCAUCAAUGCCAUACCAUUAUUCUUUCUAUCUUUUUUUAAAAUCCCGAUUAGAGUAAGCAAGGAGAUCACAAAACUACAAAGGAAGUUCCUAUGGGGAUGGGGAACAGAAGGGAGGAAAAUUGCUUGGACUAGUUGGGAGAACAUUUGUAAAGCGAAAGAGGAGGGAGGAUUAGGUAUUAAAAGUAUUGAUUUAUUCAAUAAGGCACUCUUGGCAAAAUGGAUAUGGAGAAUGGGUUCCACUGAGAAGGGCCUGUGGAAGGACAUUCUUGAAUCGAAGUAUGGAUUGUGGAGUACGACAAACUCAUUUAUAUUGAAUCGAAAUAGGUAUAAAUCCAGAUGGUGGAAUGAUUUAUCCAAGGUUAGCCUUUCAGAUCAAGGGGACAACUGGGUCAAUUCAAAUAUGGUUUGGCAACUUGGAUCAGGGGACAAGAUCAAAUUUUGGGAAGAUGAGUGGCUAGCCAAUGGUCAACUCAAAGGUAGAUAUGAAAGAAUAUAUAAUAAUUCUGAUCUUAAAGACAAGACUAUUGGUAAAUUUGGAACAUGGUCUACACAGGGGUGGGAGUGGAAAUUUAGCUGGAGAAGAGAAUGGUUUGAAUGGGAAAGAACGAUGGUAGAAGAGUUUAUGGAAGACUUAUCACAGGUGGUACUAUAUCCAAACAAAGAGGACUUACGAUUAUGGAAUGAUCCUCCAUCAUAUACCUUCUCGGUCAAAUCUGCUUACAAUAAGUUAAUUAACCAAACAUCUAGGGGGGUAACAGGAGUGUAUGAAUAUCUUUGGAAAUUAAAGGUUAUGCCAUCAGCUCAGUUUUAUGUGUGGAGGGCCCUAUCAAAUAGGAUAGCAACUAAGGUGAAUCUGCAUAAAAGGGGAGUCUUAUUGGGGGAUACAAUAUGUGUUUUAUGUGGAAGAGAGGAGGAGUCAACCCCACACAUUCUUGUUACAUGCGAGGUAUCAACUAAGGUUUGGAAUAUGUGCUUUAAUUGGACAGGGAUGAGGUCGGUAAAUCAUAAUGAUUUGGUAAAUCAUUUCGAACAAUUUUCUUGUAUAUGUUUUAAUNNNNNNNNNNNNNNNNNNNNNNNNNNNNNNNNNNNNNNNNNNNNNNNNNNNNNNNNNNNNNNNNNNNNNNNNNNNNNNNNNNNNNNNNNNNNNNNNNNNNCUUUGGGUCUCAGUGGUUUGGUGCAUUUGGAAGCAUAGAAACAAGGUUAUUUUUAACCAAACAAAGAUAGAUGCAGAGGAAAUUUUUACUAUGACACAAGUACAAACAUGGGUGUGGAUGAAACAUAAAGUAAGAAAAGUUCAGUUUUCCUUCUCUGAUUGGAUUUUAUCUCCUUUAAUAUGCAUUAAUAUGGCAACAAGAUAAACAUAGAAAAGCAUUAUUGUUUCCCAAUUAAAUACAUGUUUUGCUGGUUUUGUUAUAAAUCUGCCAAUGACUGUUUCUAUGAUCAAUAUUAAGGGUACGUAUUAUAUUUUGAACUAGCUGAAAGGUUUGAAAGGUAGUGUUAUGUGGUGCAGGUUAAAGGGUUAGAAGAACAUAUAUCAAAGGCUGGUAUUCUUGGUUUGUAUUUGCUGCUGACAGGGGGCAGUUUCACAAAGCUGAUGCUGGCAAGGACCUACAUGGAGAUGCUGAAAAUAUUCAAAGUGUAUGUUUACCCAGAUUAUGAGCCACCAAUCGUGUACGGUGGACUGUGCAAUGCCAUACAAUCAAUUGAAGGAAGGACCCUCUAUGAGAUGGAACAUGAUGCAGGGUGGUUGCCGCUCACGUUCACUUCCUGCCAUUCAGCGUGAAUUGGAUGGUGAAGAACCUCCAUCUACUCUUUCAUAAAGUUUUUUCUGUUAUUCAUCUUUUGGGGAGUGGAUUCUUUUAGCAGGGUGGUUAUGUUUUAUGUUUGAAUAACUCUAUCUUUUAGUGUACCCAGUUGAGCGUUUGUGGCUGCUUUGGUAUGAGUGUAGCCAACACUUUAUAGUUUGUUUCUGAUUGUGGGUGUGGUCUUGUUCUUGGUUUUGAGAUGUAAGGGUUAUUAUUGUGGACUCCGUCUUGCUAUGCUUUUUUGUUUUUGUUUUUUUUAGGAGUCUUUUGUACAAGGGUUGGAACACCCCUAAAGUGUUCCCUUUAUUUAUUUAAUUAAUUCUUUGCUGAAAAAAAAAAUGUGAACAGAAUGUUUUCCUACUGUUAGCACCUGAAGAUAAGUGGUUUUUCUGUUAUGAUUAAAUAUCUUCUAUUGAGAUUACACUCUCAUUAGUGAAAGUGGUUGGGGAAAAGUCUAUAAAAGGGGUUUGAGAAUCCUGAUAAAGGUACGCUAUUUCUAGAGACUAAGACUGAAACUAGUUACUUAUCUUGAAUGUUUUUACUGACUUGAUCGUCGAAGUGUGAUCAACAGGUAGAACCCCUUUCUGUUUCAACUGAGUUGCAUUCUAGGGUUGAAAGAAAGACAGAUCAGAAACAGAACUUUCCACCUAGGUCAACCGCGGUCAACUGGCGAGAACAGUAAUAAUAUUUAAUUAUUAAUAUUAUUUUACUAAUAAACCACCAGUUAUAUUAGUGAACUUUGUGAUGUUUUGAUGGGUUCAAUUUUUGAAACAUAGAUAAAAUGAACAUAAAACAUUUUUAACUCAUGCACGCUCCACUCGUGAAAAAAGAGAAUAUCCCGUUCAUUUUUUUUAUUAGAACUGAAGUUCGGUUUAGCAGUGUCUUUUGCAUUAUUAUUUUCACCAACAUAAUUUUCAUUAAAAAAUUAUAUUAAGGUUUAAUUAUUUUUCCUUGAAUUUUGGAGUGAAUUUGAUUUGAUUUUUUCAAAUUAAAUUUAUUUAUUUUAAUGCUUCAAAUUUUAAAAAAAUAUAAUCUUUGUCCUCAAAUAUUAAAUUUGAAGGUCUGUUUAAAAAAUCAUUUUAGCCCAUUAAAUUUAUUGUUUGGGAUUUAAAUCAUCCGAAACCAGAUUUAUGCUAAAGUCUAGUGAAUAAAAAUAUAAUUAAACCUUCUAUUAUAAUGAAAGAUAUCCAAAGAAGUAAAACUAACAAAAAUAUUGAAAAGAACUACACUAUGUCUCAAUAAUGUUAAAGAAAAAUAAGUGUAAAAGGAUAAAAAAAAUGUUGUUUAGGAUCAAUAAAAGAAUGAAAAAAUAUAAAAAAAAAGAAAAAAAGAAGAAUGAAAGUAACAAGGGGUUCUAAAUGCCUAUAUAUAAUAUAUGAUGUCAUUUUUAUCUGAAUAUUUGCAAGCGCUUUCAAAUUCAACUGAGUCUCUUUUUCCAUCAAAUAAUUUGCUACAUGAUCACCUAUAUUAUUCUCUUACGAUAUUUACUCAAUAAAUCUCCUCCUAAAUCCACACCAAUAGCAACACCAUAACUAGUUUUUUUUAAUUCUUUCUUAAAAAUACUAACGCUUAUAAGACUUUAAGAUUAUACAAGUCAUAUUUGAUGUAUCAAUGAAAAUUGAUUAUUUCUUAAAGAUAAAGUUUAUAAUUGUGUUAGGUUGACAAUAUAAAAAAAUAUUUUAACGGGAAUUUAUUUUUUACAUUAUCCAGGAUUAAAACCUCUAUUAAGUCAUUUAUCCAGGGUUGCAGUUUCUCCUGCUAAAUCAUCAUUGAGAAAUGUGUUCCCCAAGGUUUUUUAAACCUCAGGAAAAGCCUUUUAGAACCCUUGUUAAAUACCAUGGGUUUAAGAACCUCCGUAAAAUACUAUGGAUUUCAAAAUCUCUAUUAAAUACCAUGAGUUUAAGAACCUCAGUAAAAUACCUUGAGUUUCAACAUUUUCGUAAAAUGACUUAUCAUUUGAAAUAACCUUCAAUCGUCUGAGGCCACGUUUUAUGCAAAUCAGUUUUAUAGAGGUUGUUUUUCAGCAUACUGCUAGUGCUGGUUUUUGUAGGAAUUUUAUAAUUUCUGGAUAUGGAUAUGUAAGGAUAGUGGGGUCUCUAUACUUUAAGCUUUUGACCUAUGUGAUUUUACACAUAGUAAGUUAUGAACUAAUAAACUCUUAAGUAAAGAGAGAUUUGUGUAUAAAGGUAAAGUAUCUCAUUUAAUUUUAUUAAUUGUUUGCUGAUAAAAAAAUCUUUAUUUUAAUGAAGUAGUUGAAUAUUAAAUUUAACUCUUAAGAAAAAUUGGAUUAGUAUAAGAUUUCGUGUGUAAUUCUUUUUCUCUCUUUACUUUUUUACAAUUCUCUUAAACAUUCAGAAAUUUAAACAUUCAGAAAUUUAAUUGAUUAAUUAAUUGAUCUGGCAAAAUUUCUACUGAUUAACUAUAUUUAAAUCUGUUGUUCAAUAUUCAAAUCUGUUGUCCAAUAUUCUAAAUGGUUGAUUUUGUACAAACAUUAUUCUACCUCAGAUCUUUUCCGAAAAUAUUUUAAAAUCAAUUCACUCUUCUCUUGUAUUCGAUCAACGUUUCUAGCAACCUUUUCUAGUUUUAUAUUCAUAUCUUUGGGUCGGAAUCUUCUAUAUAUAUACUGGGAGAGAGCGUAGUUAUAUUUUAAAAAAAAUCAGACAACUGAUGUAAAAAAGAAAUUCUAGAUUUAUUGUAUAGGUAUUACUACAACAUAACAUAGAAUAUCCUUUUUCAACUUUGAUUCGGGAAUCAAUCUUUUGGAGUAUACAUAAUUCCAAUCAAGAUUACCUAAAUCAUAACACUAAUUGUAUAUAUUAUUUAUUUUAUUAGCCUGGGUCGUUUAGUUAUAAAUGGCAGAUGUCAUUAUAAAAUUAUAUGAACCUAAAUCAUAACAUUAUUUUUUCUUUCUUUGUUUUUAUCAAUUUUAAAACCUUUUUUUUUUAUCUAGGAAAAUGACAUUUGAGUAACAGUAGAAGUAAGAAAGAAUGUGUCCAAAAGGUUCUCUUUGCUGUUUAGCAACAUUCUUUGCAAAUAGGAAUGGACAGGACUAUUUUGCUAUUAAAGAAACUAAUUUCUUGUUUUAUCCUUUUUAAUAAUGUUUCUCUAAUUUAUUUUAUUGAAUUUAUUAACUCUUGGGCUAAGAUGUUUGGAUAUUUACAUUAAGUGAUGUUUUCUUUAUAAUAAAAUACAAACUAAUUAAUGUCCAUAAUUUUAGAAUUAGUAAGAAAAUAAUAUUUUAUUACACAAAAAGGAAAGGUAAUAAGUAAUUUAAUAUAUUGUAUAUAUUGUUUAUUGUUAUAAAAAAAACUAAUGUAAUAUUGGAAAGAAGAAUAUAUUUGCUUUUAUUUAAUAUUUUUAAUAUAUUGCUGAAAAUAAUAUUAUGAAUAUUUUGUAAUAAGAUAUGACAUUAUUGUAGAAAACUCUGUAUAAAAUAAUAAAUUAGUUAUUGUUGCAAAAAAUGUAAGGUUUUGGCAUAGACAAGGUCGCAUCAUUAAAAUUAGUUAGAUAUUAAAACAACAAUUGAAUUUGGGGAAUGAAGUGUUACCUUUUGGUUAAAUAACCUCUGAAUAGUUGAGUUGAGAUCACCGUCGAAUGUUAAAUCAAUAUCAUCUGAUGUUCGAAUCCCCAAAAAAGCUGGAGCUUUUAUGACUUCUUGAGAGAAAGUUUCCAUAUUAGGGCAUUCAAUUAUCAUCAUUACUUGCAAACACGAGCAUCGCAAAGUGGCAUUUCCUGAAUAAAAACUCACUAAACUUGGUAAGCAAUUUAGCUGAAUCGAUCUCAGUUGUCCAAAUACUAUCUCAUCACAACCAUCUGCAUCUUCACAUUUUGCAAUUUCUUUUAUUGAUUCACAUUCCCCCACAACUAGCCUCUCAAGUUUCACCAAACUUUUUAGUGUUGCAAAUGUAAAUAAAUACUCCAUCCUUUCACAGUUCGUCACAGAUAACUUUUGAAGAUUAAUGAAAGACACUGCAGAUGAAACUAUUUUUUCUACUUGAGGACACUUGUCGAGAUUUAAUAAUUCAUGUUUUUCAGAGUAUGGUUGUACCCAUGGGUGCUCUAAACCUACGCACUCUAACUCAUUUAGGUUAAGCAAGUAUAAUUCUUUCAAUCUCACAAGUACUGUGUCAUGAACUUGAAGCUUUUGAGAGGGAAAUAUCUCCUUCAGACCAAAGCAGUUUUGUACAUUAAGAACUUCUAAAUUGGGUACCUUGUGAAAGAAAUCAAAAGGCAAAGUACCUUUCUCAUUUUUAUUAUCCUCAAAGUCCAAAUAAAUAUUAUUUAACUUGUAAAGAAGGUCUUGUGGCAAACGUGCAUCGCUCAACAACAUAAUAUUUUCCUCAUUGAGCAUCAAAUUCUUCAGUUUGGGAGAAGCCUAACAAUUGAGGCCAGACAAAUUCAAAAGAAAAAUGCAUAGUUGAUAUUAGAUAGAAGAUAGCUAUAAAAGGAAAAUAUAAAAUGAAAACAAAAGAAAGCAUACAAAUGUAAAAAUGUUAAUGCUUCGUUACCAAUAUUUCAACAGAGAACAAAGGUUGCUGUAGCGGGCAAAUUGAAGCCUGUAUAAUUCCUUCUUUCUCACCAUCGUCAAAGUUUGAUGUGAAUAGCUUCAACUUAGGACAAUAGGCCACUUUUAAUUCGUGUAACAAGGGACAUUCCAGAUGAUGUUUUCCAGGAUAAAAGCAACUCAAGACUGGCAUACACCAAAGACCUAGAAUGGACAAACAAGGGAAUACAAAUACUGUCAUUUCCUUUUCCGUUGCAUCUUCCUUUUCUACUAUUUCUACCAAUUUCUCACACUCUUCUAUUUGAAGUGUUUUAAGCUUCUCAAGAUUUCUGGCUAGGGAUGAAGAGAACAAUGUUACCAAGCUUCCACAACCAUCAACAACCACUUCUUGCAAAUAGGGAAAGCUGACAAAUCCUUUAGGGUUUUCCUUCCAUACACAUUUCAAAUUUGGCAAGUUUUGUAAAAUAAGCUUUUUCAAACGACAGAUUAUUCCCUUCAUCUUGACCUCACUCUCAUCUAUGUCAAAUAUUACUUGCACUGCAUCAGAACCAUGCACAUUAAAUUCUUUUAAGUUCUUCAAGUGAAGAAGAACAUGAGAGGGAAUCAAAAUAUCUCUUUUACAUGCUACAUCGAAUUCCAAUUUCUCUAAACAGUUAAAAAAAUUAUCUGGGAAAACAGGUUUGUUGUGCCGAACACCUUUCGUCUCAGGAUAAUCAACAAGUCUUGCAUACUUUGAAUAUUCAAAAGAAACCUUGGAAAAGAAGAAAAUGUCAGGAGUAAAUAACUAUCAAUGAUUGAAUGACGAUAUAAAAAGUAUUUGAGUACAUUUAUUUAAUGAAAUCCUUUUGGUAUAAUAUCAGUUAAGAACCAUUUCAAUGAAAUUAAAAAUAAAUAUUUUAAUGCAUACCUGAUCUGUGAAAUGUUUCUGCAGGGUUGCAUUCAAAUCACCUUCCCAAUACCACUUGUCUUUUUCUUCGGCUGCAACAUGUACUUUUUCUAGGUUUGAAGCACUUUGGACUUCAGAUAAUUUUGUCAUUUGAGGGCAUUCACUCACUACUAAUUUUUCCAAUAGUGGGAAUUUGAAGUCACACUUCUCGACAUUAGAGAAACACUUGAGAUUUUGUAGAGACACCAAUUCUAAUGAUUCUAAUAGUUUAAACUCAAUCUCUUCUACUUCUUCCUCAACAUUUUUUGCAACGAUUUCUACAAUCAUUGGACAUGAACUUACUUUCAUCCUUUUGAGUUGAACCAAGGUUUUAGCAGUUGAGGUUGUCAUUAAAUUCCUCAUCAUACAGUUCACCACUUCUAAAUAUCUUAAGUAACUAAAAGAUACCGAGGACGAUGCUAGAUUUCUCAAUUUUGUACAUUGUUGAAUGGUUAAGCAUUCUACCCUUUGAAGAAGCAUGUCAUGCUCAAAGCCAAUAUCUUCAAGAGCCCACAUGAAAUUUAAUUCCAACUCUUUAAGUUGCAUAACAACACCUAUUUUUUCACAUGAAAUAAGACUUUCAGAAGUCCAAAUCCUUUCCAAGUGACCAAAUUUCAAAAUUAAAAUUUUCAAAUUGGGAAGUCUAUGAAGAAACCAAAAGAGAAUUUCACUAUUAUUCAACCCAAACAAGUUAAGUUUUUCUAGUUUGUGCAUUGUGUGAACAUUAGCAAUGUAUUUCUGCAACCACUCUGCUUCGUUCAAGCCAAAUGACAUAUUUUCCAAGUUGUAUAGCACCUAAAUAAAUAAAUAAACUUAUUAGUAUCAAAGUAUAUGUUUGAACCCAUAGUGUAUUAUUUUGCUACAAGAAAUAAAAUACAUAACCUCACAUCCUUGUCAGGCACUGCUAAUUCAUGCUUUUCAUCUAAACAAGGCAUGUUCCAUAUUUUCUAUAGAAAAGCUCUGAAAAAUAAAUUUUGUGACUUGGAUCUAAACAAACUUUGUGUACCUUUUCUGUAGCUACAACAAUUGGUUGCACUCUUGAAUUUAUGAUUUUUGAAGUCAACCCUUCCAACAUGCUACACUGGAAUAUAUCCAAUAUCUUUAAUAGUGGCCACUCUAGAGUGUGAGUUCCUGAGUAGAAACUCCUCAAAUCAUUUAAGCCUAUCAAAGAUAGAGUGUUUAAAUGGGGGAACUUAAAGUUGAUAACAUCUUCACUUGCAUGUUUUUCCCAAGCAACAAUCUCUUUCAUUGCAUCACAAUUUCGUACCCUAAGGACUUUCAAAUUUUCUAGGUCAAUGGAAAUAGAAAGUGGAAAGAGAUAUUUUAAAUUUGGACUCUCAUAAACUUUUAUGCUUCGUAAAUUAUUAUAUUUGAGUAUCUCACCGAUGUCAUCCUUCCAUACGUUCACCAAAUUUGGAAGCAUUUCUAGAAGUAUAUUAUCCAAGUUUGUUUCAAUUAUAUCACAAGACUGUGGAAUAUUUGCAAAAUCAAAUAUAUUUUCCACCAAGUUGCAAUUUGUAAUUGUCAAGCUUCGAAGGCUCUGAAAUCUUUGUCCCAUAUAACUAGGAAAAAUCGUAACUAUUUUGUGGCACUCCCUUAUUAUCAAAGAGUCCAAAAUACGAAAGGAAUGUAAACCAAUAUGGGAAUUCCAAAUGGUACUGAGUUUCUCCAUGCAAAUGAUCUCUAUUUUCUUCAACUUUGGAAAAACGUCAAUAUGCUGUUUACAAACAAAAAAUGAUUGAUAGGUGAGCAAUUAAAAGACCUAAACAACUUUUACAAUUAAACAAUUAAACAACAAAUGAUAAUAUUAAUCAAACUCAAUAUUAAAUGAAUCUACACACCUCUGCAUUUUCUGAACGAAAUAUAUCCUCCAUCAUUUCACAUUCACUUACAAAAAGGCUUUGAAGAUUCACCAAAUUUCCAGCCAUGGAGAAUGAUAGUAAAUACUUUAAAUUACCACAAUCUUUCACAUUCAGUGUGAGCAAAUUUUGAAAACAAUGGUCAUAUUGGUCACUCCAUAUCUUCUGGAUGUUGAUUGAGGAUAACUCCAACCAUUCUAAUUUGGGAAUUGAAACCUGUAAGAACACAAAUGCUCACAAUAUAUUUUGAAAGAUGUUUUCCCCAAGAGAAAUGACAAAACUUAAAUGAGUAGAAAUUUUUAUACUUCUUUCAAAGGAAUAAUAACAUACAAAUUAAACAUUACACAAGUAAUUAUGAUAAGGUUAUAACAUACCUUUUCAUUGAAGAGUGGAAGGCAAGAAUUAAUGACCCCGUUAUCAAAGUCAGUGACAAUAUCUUUGUUCCUGUGUUGCAGUACUUGGUCUUGCAACGAUUGUGCACUAUUAGACAUUUUAUCAAUGGUAUAUAAACAAGUAAAUGUUGGUAAAGACUUUAACGUUAAAACUCGUAACCGGGGAAACUCAAUCUUGUCAUCAUGAGUUUGUUUUUCUUCUAAAACUAUCUCCUUCAAAGAAUCACAAUCACACACUUCAAUUGUUUCAAGCACAGUGAGGAGUCGAACCAAGGAAAAUGGGAAAAGGUUUCCCAAUUUAACACAUGUUUCAAUCUUGAUCACUUUUAAACUACGGAAAGAUGGCUCUACAAGCUGAUUGUCACAUAUUUUCUCCAAGUUAUGCAGUUUGUAAAGCCAUAUGGACUCCAAUUUGGGAAAAGUGAGUAAAGGGUAAAACCGCUCCACAUUCUUGAUAAUAUACUUAAUGCCAAAAUUGUUUACAAUAGAUAAAUGCUUCAAAUUUGGAAAUCCCUCAACAUUUAAUUCAAAGAAAAUAUCUUGAACAUCGUUGAGUUCCCCCAACAACAAACAUUCAACAUUUUUUAACAACAUUUUAACCCAUUUUUCUGAAUGAAUAUCAAUACCUUGUUCUAGGUUCAGUGCCAAAAAUUUGACCUCCUCAUACCUGUCAGGGACUUUGAAUUCUCCCACUUUAUUCAAGUUAAGAAAGUUGAAUUCACCAAUGACAAUCUUGUAACUAUUCAAAUUGUCGAAAAACAAAUUUCGUGGAAAAUGGCCAGAACUCUGAAUGUAUAUGUCUAGAUUUUGCAACUGAUUCAAGUUCCUCAACUCAGAAAUACUAGCAUUUCCACUUUUGAUAUUUUCCUCAGCCUCCCAUAGAAUUGGACUGUCUCUAAUAUAAAGUUCCUCUAAAGUGUUCAUCUUUGGUAUGAUAUUCGACCUUAUUUCUCCUAGUUUUGAGCAAUUGCUUAUGUCGAAAAGCUGAAGCUUAUCCAAUUGCCCAAAUUCAAGAGGCAAACUUUCAAUACUAGAUCCUGAAAGAGUAAGGAUUUGUAAAUUCUUUAACUCACCGAUGAUUGAUAGGUUCUCUCCUAGAGUGCAUCUCUCCAAACAAAGCAUUCUGAGUUUUUUUAGGGAUUUAAUUGAUGAAGGUAAGCAAGAUAGAUUAACACCAGUCAAUACCAACACUCUAAGUCGAACCAUAGAUUUAAAAAAGUCAUCUGCUAUUUUGAAAGAUUCACUUUUAUUGUCAAUCUGUAAGACUUCAAGUCUAGGACAAUGUAUACUCUCAAGAAGCUCAUCAUUGAUGUUACAAUAGUGUAAAAAAAUGGCAGUGUACCUUUCAAAGUCAUCUUCAUGAGGCCACUCAUCAAGAAUGGAAUUCUUCAUAAAAAACACAUGUUUUUCUUUGGAUGAUAUUGAAAUAGCAACAUCUCGCACAAUGUCAUGCAUGUUGAAGCGGUCAUCAGAAUAACUCCUCACUAACAAACUCGAUUCUUCUAGCUCAUGUAUAACCUCCUUCACUCUUUUCCUCGCAUCUGUAAUUGUGUGGACUCCUUGCAGCAAAUUCAAACCAAUGCAAAAUUUGACCAAGUCCAUAAUCAAAGCAUCAUCUCCCAUUCUUGCACAAUGUAAGAGAAUACACUUUAGCUGAUCAUUUUUUAGAUGAUCGUAGCUCAACUUUAUAGAGAAGUCAGUAAAUCCCCAUUCUUCUGUAAAACUUUGUUUUUUAAUUUGUUGGCAAACAUCCUCCCAUGAAGAUAAGCUUUUAUGCUUUAGUGUCCUUCCUAUGGAAACUAAUGCUAUGGGAAAUCCAGCACUCCAUUUGGCAAUUUCAAGAGCAUUACCAUCGAACUCAGAAGUUUUUACGUCAGCGACUUUCUUAAGCAGAGUCUCUGCCUCCUUUUCAUUGAGGACUCCUACUGAAAAAGUUGAGCUCUCAUGCACAUCCAUUUGAUUACAUAGUACUUGUUUAUAUCGAGAAGUUAGAAGAAUUUUUCCUCCUUUGUAACUCCUAGAUAACUUUUUCUUUUCCAUCUUAUUCAAAUUAAAUUUUGACAACUCUUUUUUCUUGGUCUUAUUGUAACCAAAAUCAGAUAUGUCAUUGGCCUCUAGUUGGCUUUCAUCCUCAUGAUCAUCAUCUUUACAUGGAAUCCCAAGUUUAUUCAAGUCCAAUCCAUCCCAGAGAUCAUCAAGGAUAAUAAGGGUGUUCUCCUUUUCUCUCUUUAACCUCUUUCUAAUACGAUCUACUCUUGCAAUCUCACUUUCUCCUUGUAAUCUCAUUCCUAGCAUUGCAGCAAUUUGUCCUUGAAUAUUUUUAAAAUCAGGAUUUCUGCUAAUAUUUGCUAUAACCACUGUCUUGAACAACUUCUUUUCUCGAGCUAUCUUAGCAACUUCUUUGACUAAAGUGGUCUUACCAACACCACCAGGCCCAUGAACUCCAAUCAUAUCAAUGGUAGAGUCUUCCAGUGCUUUCAUAAUCAUCUCCAUAUUUGUAUUUCUAGACGCAAAGCUCUCAUAUCCCAAGUUUGAAAAAGCAACAUCAAUGGUUGGACCUUUUUGAUACGAAACAUUGUUAAAACCUUUCUUCCAAAGUUCAUCUUGUUUGAUUUCCUCUACCUUCUUUGUAGCUUCUCUGCCUAGUUGAUACCUUAGUUGGAAGUUAUUUGGAAAGAAACCAAGUGAGCAAAUUGUCUUUGCGUGACACUCAUUGUGAAUAUAACUUGUAUAUUCUUUUAUCUUCUCAUCCAUCUGCUUUAAGCAAUCUCGAACGUCAUUUUCAAUUUCAUCUGCAUUCCUUAGUGCAUCAUCAACUUGAUGUUGUAGCCUCUCCCUAUUAUGUUUCAACUUCUCAAUGUAAGAUUCCAACUCUUUAAAUUUGUCUUUGUAAUUGAAAAAGUAGCCCACUUGUCGUUUGACAACGCGUCCUACAACUUUCAGUGCACUUUCAGUUGUUGUAGAGACAACUAUAUCCAUAUCCUUUCACAAUGAAUGCUUUGGUCUUGAUUUUUUGCUUCCUCCUGUCAUUAGUAAUUUUUUUUCCUAAAUAUUUCAAAACACAAAAGGAAAUUGAUAAAAAAACAUUCAACGAAUUUUGACGACACACUUAAAAGUUCAUCUAAAAAAACAUAGAAACCAAAAAGUAUUUAUAGAUAUUAUAAUAAUUUAUAAAAUUACAGCAUUAAAAAGUACUAAAGAAUUGUACAAGUGAUAUUUACAGUUGGUGGAGUGAUGCCAGUUAUUUCCGAUUGAGAUUUUUUUUAGCUUCACUUAAUAUUUCUAUAUGACUUUUAUUUUGCUGGUAACUUCGGUUAAAAUUUAAAAAAUAAAAUUAUUUGUAAGAAUGAACUCAUUAUGUCUACUUAUAAUACCGUAGCCAAAAUUCAUAGUUUUUCUAUUUAAGCUUUGUGCUAUAAAAUUAGAAAGUGUGCAAAAUUUGAGGGCAAAAAAUAAUAUAUCAAGAGAUCAGAUUUAAACUCCUCUUCUACCUCUAUUAUUCGUUAUGUUUUUAACUUUUUAUCUAGUAUCUAAUUAGUUAAUGAUAAAUAAUAUUUUCAAAGUAUUUCUAAUAUUAAAAAAUCAUAUAAAUAAAAAAAUCCAAUAAAAGCUCAUUAUAAAAAAAUAUAAUUUUUAUUCUAACUUAAAGGUUCCUUUUAGUUCUUUAUCAUUUUCUUAUCCAUAUAGUUACCACUUUCUCAUUUGGUGAUAAUAGAGUAUCGUUAUUUUAAAGUUGAGUUUAACCACUCUCCACAUUCUUCUAGCUGUUCCAUUGGUAAGAUGAUAGAAUUGAAACAAGUUUAAGAAAUUGUUUACCAUCUCUCAAUUUGAAUUUAGUGAUGAUAAGCAAAAGUCCAAAAUAUUAUGGUGCUUAAAAUAUUCUAAGGUGUUUUGAGUUAGCUUCAAGACUAAAAAGUCAAUAUUCAUGAAAGCAGAAUUGGAGGGUUUCUAGUGGAGCCAAUGCUAAUGCACAAGUUUUCAGCGAUUCUAAAUUACAGCAUCAUGAUAGUACCUUCCUCAGAGUUGAAGGUGAAAAUCAUCAGCACAUGCUUAUGUGUGAUGAAGGGCAAUCAACGAGCCCCGACGCCGGUGGCCAAACAAAGGCGGUGCUCAGAAGGAAUUUGAUUGCGUUGGCAGAAUGGGGAAAGGCGUCGUGGAACAAAGGAUCAUUCGGGGAAGGAAGGAGGCUCUUCAGAGGGGAAUCAAGCAAACAAGUUAUGCUUUGGACAUAAAGAGUCAUAUUAGGAACGAUGAUUUGGACAUGUUAUGCUUACAAAAAAAACAAAAUCGAGUUAUCUCUCGGAUGCUAUGUGCUUUUCCAUGCGGGGGAAGCAACGAAGUAGGUUGGGUCCAUAAGGAGGCACAAAAUGGAGGUGGGGGAAUUUUAACAAUGUGGCAAAAAUCCGUGUUUCUUUAUCAAAGUCACAUAAUGGGAGAAGGUUUUGUUGUGGUGGUGAGUUCUUAAAAGUUAGGACUCAGAUUGUUGUUGUAAAUAUCUACUCAUAUUGCAAUUUGGUGGAAAACAACAUUUAUGGAAUGAUUUAUGCAAGCACAGAUGAGUAAUACGUGAUGUGUUAUAGAUUUUAAUGUAGUAAGAUCCUUCAUGGUGCAAUGUUCGGAUUGGUUGAAGGAUAAAGAGAGAAUUUACUGGGGAUGCAAAUUCCAAACAAGUAUGCAGGACGAAAGUGUAAGUAAUUCAAUAUAUUUUAUUUUUAAAAUUUUAAUUAUUAUUUAUAGAUAUUAUUUUAUUUCAAUUUUUAUGAUUAUUAUUGACAAUUAUUAUAUAUGUUAUGACAAUUGUAAUUAAAUUUAGAACUAAAAUGUAACAAGGGGGAUUCGAACUCAAUCCAAAGAAGUUUUAACUAUUAUAUCAAUCAAGUUUUGUUAUUUCAUUAUGAUUAUUAUUAUACUUAUUAGUAAGAUUAUCAAUAUUAUUAUAAUUAAUAAUAUAAAAAAAAUAUUAACAUUAUUAAAUAUUAUUAACUAUUAUUAAUAUUAUUAAAUAUUAUUAAUAUUAUUAAAUAUUAUUAAUAUUAUUAAAUAUUUUUAAUAUUAAUAAAUAUUCUUAAAUAUUAUUAAUAUAAUUAAAUAUUAUUAAAUAUUAUUAAUAUUUUAAAUAUUAUGUAUAUAAUUAUUAUGAUAAUAGUUUAUAGUUAAUAGAGAUCUGUGGGUAAUAGUUAGUAGAUAAUAGAGAUCCGUGAGUAAAGAUUCGUAGGUAAUAAAAUCUGUGGGUAAUAGUUGAUAGGUAAUGUUAAAUUUACCUACGGAUUCAGAUUUGUAGGUAAUAUCCAUAGUAAUAUCCGUAAAUAAUACUGAAUUUACUUACGGAUUAAAGUCCUUAGGUAAAAAUCCUUAGAUAAUACUGUUUUUUGUAGUGUAGGUAAAAUGUAAUUGUUAUAAUAAAUUAUUUAUUUUUAUUCUGUUUGAUUUUAAACUCAUCCUUAUUUUCGUUCUUGUUAAUAAUGGUAAGGUAGGAACAAUUGUAGAUGGAGAAGAAUAAACAAUUUGAAAAAUAUUUUUCUAAUAUUAAAGAAUUAUAUAUUAAGUAUUAUGAGUAAGAUGACUUUUAAGUUUAUACAUAAUUUAUAUUUUUUGUCAUAAUUGUGUUCCAAUAGACAUCAUUUACAAACUAUUUGUAUGUCCUCAUGAUUUGUGUGCCUUCUUUGAUCUUAUUUUGUAUAACGAAACAGUUUCGUCUCAAUUGAAGUAUUCUUUAAAUAAUUAAUUCAUUUAUUUUUAGUUUAUAAAAAAAUUAUAAUCAUUUAUUAUAUUCCUACAUCAUCACAUAUUAUUGUUUGUUUAUUGGACAAAAAAUCACCCCAUAUAUUUAAACAAAUAUUAUAUUAAAAAUAAAAACCAUUAAUUUAUUACAUUGAUUAAGUUUAUAUAGUUCUAUCAUAACUAGUGUUUUUUUUAUUAGUAUCUACUUCAAAUAUAAUAUUUUGAAGGAUAGGCUAAAGGUGAGACCACAAAAGUUGAUGUGGUGCUAUUACGUAAUGCAAUUGAUAAUUAGCAUUGUUCUAGUCAAAAGUCAAAAGUUUAGAAAAAUAAAAUUAUGUUUCUCUGGUUCAUUUGUAAAUAUACUUUUUAGAUUUAUGAACUAGUAUCAAAUUAUUAUAUCUUGAAGUAUUUCAUGAAUACACAAUUAUGAAGCAUUUGAUUACAUCAUAUUAUGGACAACAUAUUUUAUUAAAUUUUACAAAAUAUUAGGAUAGUUUACAUAUUAAAUUAGGUUUUAGACUUCAUGGUUAGUUUUUUUCAUUAUAGUUUUUUUUUUAUGUUUUACAAUAGUCAUUUCAUUACUUUUUUAGAAUUUUUUUUAUAUCUUUUCAUUAUGCUUAAGUCAAUUUUGUAAUUUUAUACUUUAAUUAUAAAUGAUAUUAAACUCAUAUUUUAUAAUAUUAUUAGCAUUAGACAAGUUUCAUGUUAUUGAGAUAUAAAGGAGAUCUUAAGUGAUUAUCACUAAAAGUUAUAUUUUUAUUGCUUCAAAACAAUUUAAUACUUUGCAGGGCCAUCUAAAUAAUAAUAAGCAUAUUGAAAUUAUUGUCUCUCACAAUUUAUAUUUUAUGGAAGCAAUUGCCUGUGCCACAUUUGGUAAUCUUUCUUUUGAAUGGCAAGACGGUAAGUGUAAAUUUUGGUCCAAAACGGUGGUGCUGGACUGGUGCAGGAGGCACUCUUCAAGUGCUUUUUUUUUGUUUUUUAUCCUCUAUUUUAUUAUGCAGAUUGUGCCAUCGGUACUGUAGUUUUUUUUCUGCGGAUUCUAACUUAAGCUUGUUAUUUCUUGUGUUAUAUUUUUAGAACAAACUAGCUAUUAAAACUCUGAUGGGAACUUACAAAGGGAUGGAACAUUCUGAAAUUUCUAUUUUUUUUAAUUAAAUUAUUUUUUACUGAUAAAAAAAAUCGUAAUAAAAAUUUAUUUUAUUUUUUACCGAUAAAAAAAUUAAUCUUAUUUUGAAUAUCAAAAGGAUUGAAGCCUUUCGCUCGCAUUGACAUAAAAAAAAAUAAACCAACAAAUAAAGUUUUACAUUCAUAAUAUCAGGAAUAAAAAUUGAAAAAAGAAACAUAUUUUACCUGACUGGUUGGGUUCUCACACAAACUUCCUCUUUGAAAUAUUAACCUUAUAAUAGCUCAAACAAUUCCAAGCAGAUGAAACCUAGUAUAUAUGUGUAGUCAUAAUAUGUCAGCUAAGAGUAAUAUUUUUGGAAAUGAUAAAAAUGAUUAAAAUAAAGUGGAAAUAAAAAAUAAGAAAUAAGCUAUAAAGAUUUAUAUUAGAUUGAUGUUACCUUGUAUGAAUUUGAUAGGGUUCCCUGGAGAAAGAAGAUGUUGUGGAGUUUGGUGAAAUACUUGGGAAAGGCUUGUAGUUAAGAAAAGUUGAAGUUAAAUAAUGAAGAAGGAAAAAAGAGAGAUAUGAGAAAGUUUGUAUGUUGAGUAUACUGUGAGAGAAGAACUUACAGAUUGUGUAGGAUUGAGGUGAUCUAACAAAAAGAUGAGAUUGAAGGAGAUCUAGUUGCAAGCUUUAAGACCAUGUGAGAAUCUUAGUGUUGCUCUGCUAUGGAAGACAAAGGAGGAUGAAUCUAUGCCUACUUCUCUGUAGUCCCUCUGAUUCGUUGAACCAUAGAAUUUAGUUCCGUAAAGUUUUUAGAGUUGUUGUUGAUUAGAGAUGUAUGGUGUUUAAAAUAAUAAAAGUAGUUGAUGAUAUGCAAUGAUUGAACCCAUUUAUGAAACAAAAGGUGAAAAAAAAGAGUAAUCGUUGUUGAAAUAUAUCCAAGGUGGAUCGAAAUAAGUGAAUGAGAUAGUUGCAGAAGAGAUAGGAAAAAGAAAAAGAAAAGAAGUGUAUGAGAUAUUUUACCUCAGUGGUUCACUGCUGCACGUGGUUUGUAGUUGACUAGGGUGAGUGCAGUUGGUUCAUUCAAGCACUGGAGCUCAUAGAAUCUUCAGGUGUCAUGUCAGCUACACCAUUAACAAAACUCAUUAGCAGAACCGUGCAACUUCGAAGGGAGAGUUCUUUUUUUUUUCUUUUUCUAAUCAGCAAACUAAACUGAAGAAGAAAGAGAAGGUAGAAUAGAAGGGGUUGGUUAUGAAGUUGGGUAUUUGAAGCAUAAGAAGAGGCAAAAAGUUGAGUGAGUGUAUGAUGAGAGUGGUGAUAGAGUU
rnacentral:lncRNA from 1 species